UAUAUAUAUAUAUAUAUAUAUAUAUAGUCCGGCUACUAUACUAUCGAUAGUAUCAAGUCCUUGGUACUAUUGAGUUUUCUACCGUUAGAUCUAUCCUUUGAUCAUUUCCACCUGUUAGAUUAUACUAUUAAACCAACCACCCACUCAACCCUAGGGGACCACUAUUAAUUUAACCGGGGACCACUAUCAUCCUAACCGCACAUCCUUUCAUCCAACGGCCGAAAACUCAAUAGUACCAAUGGGUUGGUACUAUUGAUAGUAUAGUAGCAUAAUUAUAUAUAUAUAUAUAUAUAUAUAUAUAUAUAUAUAGGCUAAUAUACUAUUAAUAGCACCAAGUCAUUGGUGCUACCAAGUUUUUAGCAAAUGGCAAAAGGCUUGGUGGUUGGUAUCCGAGACCCAAGUUCGAAUACUAGUUGAUUCAUAUUUCUUGUUAAGUUUAUUUCUAAAUAAAAUAAACGAAACGGGUAGCACUAAUAUAUAUAUAUAUAUAUAUAUAUAUAGAGUGAGGCUACUAUGCUAUCGGAAGAACGGAGCCUUCCGUGCUUCUAGCUUGUUUUUGAUGUUGCGACUUUCGAAUCGUCGAUCGGCUCCGUUAAACUUGAUCUAGAGUAUUUGGAGUACCUAGAAAAUAAAUUUUAUUAUUUUUCAAUAUUAUUUGCCUAGUGAUCGAAUAGGCUCAAAAUCAACAAUUUUCAAUGGCCAUAGUGAACCGUUUGCAAGUUUAACGGUGUAGAAAUAUCCAAAUCACGUAAAAUUUUGAUAGAAAAUUCUUUAUACUAUAUAAAACAAGAUCAAUAUCUUUGAUUUAAAAUUUUAAUGUUAUAUUAUUACAUUUUGUAAGAUUUUUAUUUUCAGCCGUUGAUUUUGAGCUCCUUCGUUCACUAGGCAAAUGAUAUCGUAAAAUCAUAAAAUUUAUUUUCUAGGUACUUCAAAUACUCUAGAUCAUGUUUAGCGGAGCCGAUCGACAAUUCGAAAGUCACAACAUUGAAAACGAGGUGGAAGCACGGAAGGCUCCGUGCUUCCGAUAGCAUAGUAGCCUCACUCUAUAUAUAUAUUAUAAUUUUUAAAUCUUAAAUAGUUGGAUGCAACGAGCAAUAGUUUAAAUAAUUUAUUACAAUUUUACCUUAAUUAAGGGGGUGUUUUGAUUGCGUUAUCUAAGAUUACAUUACUAAGUAUUGAAAGAAUUUGGGCUUAAAUUCCAUCAAGCAUGAGCUACCUAAUCUUAACAAAUUAGUGAAUGCAAAAAUCUGGUACCGACACGUUAAGUUUUGUAAUCUUAUAACGUUUAAGCAUCUAAUGUAAUUUAGCAAUUAUCUUUCAGAUAUGGACAUAGUUUUUGGUGGAUUAGCAGGGUUGAUUAAUUAAUUAAGACACAUCCAACUCUAAUUAGGGGCACUUGGAAAGCGUUAUUUGAGAUUCCUAGCUAUUGAAAUAAUAAUUAAAAUUUUAUUUGUCGAAUAAGAUUGUUUGAAAUUGUAUAAUUUCUUAAUUUGAUUCACAUAGUUUUUUUUUAUCAAAGAUGAUUAAGAUUAUUAAAUUACUCUAUUUAAUUUAAUGGCGUGUUUGGUUCGCCUCUUUUUUCACCCAGAAUAGGAAUAGGAAUGGAUGAAUCCAUUUGUCCGUAUUUAGUAUACGGGAUUUCCGUUCCGAUUCCAAUUUCCUGGUGAAAAAGAAUCCCCCCAAUUUUCUCUUUUCCCAAUCCGCCAAUCCGGGCGAAAUGAAUUUUUUCGAAUUAAAUUUAAAUUUUUUAAGUUUAUUUUUUUAUUAAAAUAUAAGUUUAAAUUAAAAAAUUAUAUGUUUAAAUUAAAAUUUUAAUUUAAAGUUAAAUUAAAAAUUAAAAUUCAUUCAAGCAUUUCGAAUCUAAUUUAUAAAUUUUAAUUUUAAUUUUUAAUUUUAAAUUAAAAGUUUUAUUCAAAUUUUAUUUAAAAUUUAAAUUAAAUUUUAUGGAUUCAAAUUGAAAUUAUAAUUUUAAGUUUGAAUUGGAAUAAAUUGAAAUUUAGUUUUACAUUUUGAAUUAUUUGUUCAAUUUAAAAUUUUAAUUUUUUUAAAAAAUAUAUUUAAAAUUUUAGCAUCAUUUAAAAAUUUUGACAUAAAUUUUUAAUAUUCAAUUUUUUUAGUUUGAAUUUAACCUAAUAUAUUAUAAAGAUAAAAUUGACAUAUUAAUUUAAUUACGUUUCUGAUAUCUAUCUGAACCAAACACUGACAAUGGGAAUAGAUUAUUCCAAUUCCGAUUCAGGUAGCAAAUCAAACAGAAUGAGUUAAUGAAUCAUUCCGAUUCCGAUUCCAGCUUAUUCUUAUUUUGAUUCCGAUACCGAUUCCGACUUCGAACCAAAUACACCCUAAUAGUAAAAUUUUAGUAAUAUAGAAAACAUUAUAAACAGUUUUCCAAAACUACCCCUGUACUAAAAUAUUUUAUUUACUUAUAUAUUAAACAUUUGAAAAUAAAAUUUAUUUCAAAAUUUUAAGGAAAAAUCAAAAUUUAAUUUUAAAAUUUAAAAUAUUGAAUUCAAAAUUUUUAAAAUGAAUUAAAAUUUAAAAUUUAAAAUUGAAAUAUGGAUUUGAAAUUAAAAUUAAAAUUUAAAGUUUGAAUUUAAAUCUAAAAUUGAAUUCAUAAUUUCAAUUUAAAUUUAAAAUUUUAUCUAAUUUAAAGGAAAUAUCGAAUUCAUAAUCUAGAUUUGAAUUUAAAAUUUAACUUCAUAAUUUGAAUUUGAAUUCGAAAUUUGGUUCCAAAUCUAAAUUUGAAUUUGAAAUUCAAAUUGAAGAUUCAAUUUUGAAAUUUAAAAAAUUAAAAUUAAAAUAUGAAAUUGAAUUUGAAAUUGAAUUUGAAAAAGAAAUUUCAAUUUGCAAUUGAAUACAAAAUCUAAAUUUGAAUUCAAAAUUAAAAUCAAAAUCAAAAUUUGAAUUUAUAUUUCAAAUACAAAGCUAAAUUUAGAUUUCAAUUUCAAAUCAAAUUUUAAAAUUAAAAGUAUGAAUACAUAAUCAAAAUUUUUAAUCUAAAAUUUGAAUUUGAAUUUGAAUUUAAAUUAUGUAUAUAUGUAUAUAUAUAUAGAGUUGAGCUAUGAUACUUUUACAAGUAUCACCAUCAUGGUGCUAUUAGGUUUUAAGCCAUUGGAUCUACUUUUUGAUUAUUAAUAGCCCUUGGAUUAAACACUAUUCCACCUACCACCACCUACCACCAUCAUCUCAACCUCACAUCUCUCAAUCCAAAGGCUAAAAACACACAAGUAUCACCCCCAUUAUAUAUAUAAUUGAGCUCCUAUACUUUUAAAAGUACCAAGUCAUUGGUGCUUGUAAAUUUUUAGCCAUUGGAUUAAGAGAUAUGCGGUUAGGAUGAUGUGGGCCCCCCAAGGUUGAAUGGGUGGUUGGUUGAAUAGUAUAAUCUAAUGGUUGAAAAUGAUCCGAGAAGUAGAUCUAACGGUAAAAAAACUUUCAAGCACCAAGUGCUUUGUGCUUUUACAAGCACCAUAGCUGGACUAUAUAUAUAUAUAUAUAUAUAUAUAUAUAUAUAUAUAUAUAUGUUACACCCCGGAUUACAACGGAAGCCCGGGCUACGUCAAUAGAGCCGCCACAUGUACAAGGAUAUACCUUAUACAUACGAAGCGUCAACAAAACUUGUUCAACAAAAUUAACUAAGCUGGAUUGAUUGGGUUAUGAAAUAUGAAUGGCAUGCAUCAUGAGCAUAGUAGUUGCUAGUACAUGUUUAUCGUACCUGUUGAUUGAAUCAUAUUGCCAAGGCAUGGUAGCAUGCUAGAUGUUUAUUAUAUUACUAACCUUUUCUACUUAUGCCUGUUUAGACCUAGUGAAAAAAUCGGUGGGGUCGGCUGCUGAACCCACUGGGAACUUUUAUUAGUUUUCAUCCCACUUUGUUACAGGGCCUAGCACAAGCGGACCGGCUGAGGAUCGCGGUAAGGGCAUAGCGCCCAAGAUAGUUGCCUCCUAUGCAUUAGAGUAUCAUGUACCCUUUUGAGAGAUGAUGUAUUUUGGUGAGGUUACUUGUAGAUGUAUAUGUAUCUAGAGAUGAAACAUGUAAACCAAAUGUAUGUACUUGGUGGAUAAAUGUAAAUGGUUGAAUGUGAAUGUAAUAGCUUGUCACGACCCGUGACCACCCGCCUAUUUGGCCGAGGUCCCGGCGCCGCCGACAUCGCCGAAUGGACAGGGUUUCCCCUGUACUACGGACAGAGUCUCCCCUGUACAUUCAAGGCAUCGCAAUCAAUACAAUUCACGAAGGUUCCAACCAGGAACAGAUAUCAAUCAAGAUUGCAAGUGGAAGGUAUCAUACAACAUAAACACAUCCUAAGUUAUUACAUUCAUUCACUUUCAUAGUUUUUACAUCAUAGUUUCCAUUCUUUUUCAUCCAAAUGCAAUCUAAGUUAUUACAACAUUUACUUACUACAAGUUUGAUACAUUGUAUUCUUUUCAUUUCCUUUACCCCUAAGCUAUAUAGACGGGGUACUGCUAGCUCUGGUUUCUGGGGUAGGGCGCUAUCUGCAGAACUACGCCCUCGCCUUGCGCCGCCGCGCCGCACACGUGUGUACCUGUACCCCCAAAACAGCAACACGGGGGUGAGACUAUUGUCCAUAGUCCUCAGUGGGUUUAGCCACCCAAGAGAACCAGCUCAACCAACAGGUCUAACGAGGCACUGCAACAUGUUAGUUCAACAAUAUACAACAGAUAUAUAUUCAAUUGAAAUACAUGUCAUGCCUCACGAAAUGCAAGAUGCAAUACCUGUAAUCAUGCAAGUAGGUUACUUUAACGCUACUUAUAUUCUUAAUCAUUCUUUACUCUUGUCAUUUAAUGUUUACUUUUAGCUCUUAGCUAUUCUUUACUUGUAACCUUUCUUUACUUAUCAGCUAUUCUUAUUCCUUAGCCGAUCUUUAUUCUUUACUUAUUCUUUAUUCUUUACACUUUGUUGCACUUUUCCACUGGCCAUUCUUUCCUAAGGUUUCUCUUACCUUAGUUCUCUAUGCCACCCGACUCGGUCUUGAGUCAAUCAAUCGCGGAUAGUCCGCGCACUGUCUAGCUCGAGGUGAAGGAACUCUUACAUGCACCUCAGCUGGCAACAGCUCACCGUACUCCUGUCCUAGCCGUCUGGCGGCGAACGAAUCGCACCUCACCCAACAACGGCCUAGGUCCAUGACUUAGCCACCCGGCGGCGAAAUCGUCGCACAAACGCCACGACAGUGGUUCAGUCAACAGGCGGUAGGAUCCACAAACUGGCUAACCAUCCGGCGGCGAAAUCGUCGCACACACGCCACGACAAUGGUUCAUUAGCCCCUGGGCGGCGAAAUCGUCGCACACACCCGACACCACUUUGGGUGUAUCAGCAAGCUUUGGGAUUCCGGAAUCCAUAUCACAUUUACCAAGGGUUGGUCUUAACCCUAUGGAACUGACCUCUCUAGGUCUAAGCCUUUAGUCAACCUAUAUUACUACAUUAGGUUUAUUGCUUUCCUAUUCUUAGCCUAGGUCCAUUACACUAGGAUUAUCAUUCUUUCCAACCUAGAUUCACUUAACUCUAGGUUAACCACUUUUACCACAAUACCUAGGUUUACUUUAACUCUAGGUUAUUAUCUUUAACUCACAACCUAUGUUAUCUAACAUUAGGUUCAUGUCACACUUGUUCAACCUAUGUUCUUGACACUAGGUUUAAUGCCACUCGAUCUAUAGGUUAAUUCAUGUCCACCUAUACUUGCCCUUUACUUAGCACUCCUACCAUGUACUUGCAUUUAGUAUUUCCAUAUUAUACUUAUCACUUAUACUUAGCAUUCUUAGCUUAUCAUUAUUUGAUGCAUUCACUCUAGCACUCUUACAUUUAGUUCACAUGCAUCAUCACAUAGCAUUUAUAUACUUUACUUCACAUACUCUCUACUUAGCAUUCUUAGCCUUUCAUUAUUCAGUCUAUGUCGUUAUGCUUUAUACUACAACAUUAAGCAUGCUUUCUACUUUAUGUUGGCAUACAAAUAUCCUUUAUGUCAUGUCAUUAACUAACAUCAUUUUACAUGCUUAUACUUAGCAUUCUAUCACAUGCAUCAUCUAUGUUAUUAUUAACAUGCAUCAACAUGAAAGUCUAUCACUUAGACAUAUAGGCGACCUAGUCGCUUCGGUAAACCAACCCACCUUAAUUCGCAUUCCGAUUGCUUGUCGACACUUGCAAUCGGCCUCCCGCGGCACCCAUAUCUGGCACGGCCCGAUACUGCAACUGCGCCUCAACCGUGCUCCGCUUCGCAGCCCCGAAAAUUAGGUCUUCGGUUAUGUGCCACGAUGCCUCAAAUCCAUUUCCAUGAUUUUACGACGUCGCCUCGGCCCUCCCGGCGGACCCGAAGCCUAAACGUCUAUUUCUUUAAUAACUUUGUAACGGCUCGUCGGAUUGCCGAACCGUCUUCGCCAACGCGUUUCGUUACCUAGCAAUUAGGUUUACGGAGGGUCAAAUUAGAUCAAACCCUCAUAUUUUGAAAAUUAGUAUUUUGGAGCCCUAGGUUACAACUAUGCAAGAAAUCACCAAAUUGAUUCAUGAUUUAAGCAUCAUUCAUCUAGAUAGCAUGCUAGGAUUCCUCUAAAUCCAUUUAUAAGCUAUUUAACCCAACCAUUAAUGAUCUACCAUUAAUGGGUAAGGAGCUUACCUCUAAGAGCUUGCUCCAAAAUGAAGAAGAAGAAGAUGAUGGUGUUGAUGAUCCCUCCAAGCUUCUUCUCCACCAAUUUCACCUCUUUUAGGAGAGAUUUAGAGAGAGAAAGAGAGGGUUUUCUCUUCUCCUUCCAUGCGUGUGUGGGUGUGUGUCGUGGGUGUGCACGGGUUGGGGCUGCACGGUUGAGGGAGAAGAAGCAUUUGCUUCUUUUACAACUUAACCCCUCAACUAUACACUAUUCAUAUUACGGGCAGCUUGAAAUCUGAUAAAUUUUGUUGGAGCCCUUCUGAACGUCCGUUUGAACUCAAAUUUGACAGGCAUACUCGGUUUUACUUAAUAAGUUCAAAGAAAUUUUAAUAUUUCAGUUUCGACCCCAUUUGGUCACUGAAAAUUAUACCGAACUGUAAUCUUUUUCAGAUAGCUUUCGAAUUCUAUUUCUCUCUCUACGGGUGUCAGAAUGGUAUGAAACUUUAAAUCUAGCCUCAUAAAAAUAUUUCUGAUAUCCCCGCUAAUUUUCAUAAUUUUCUGAGACUGUGCAUUUUCUGCUAAUUUAUCAGUCCCGUUUCCAACAGAAAAUUCUAAAUCUUCUGUUUUCGCUCCGAUUUCAGCACAGGUCGUUCCCAACCGAUAUUUCACUUCUCUAAAUCCAAUAAAAUAGUAUCUCAUACUAUUUUUUUUUAUUUUUCUCUUUUAUAUUUAAAAUUCGAUAUGUUACAUAGCUAGUAUUUCUCUCUUGCUCUUCCUUGUAUCAUACUUGCAUGAUUCAUGUAUGUUGACUAUGUUUACUUGGGCAACUAGAUAUACAUGAUUGAUGUUUGUUGAGCCUUUAUCAGACAGGGGAAACUCUGUCCGUUUGGCGUCUGUUGACGCGCCCAAACCGACCAAAUCGGCGGUUGCGGGGUGUGACGGAAAGAGUGGUAUCAGAGCAUGUAAAAGAGAGAAGUCUAGGAUGGACCUAGGAGACCCUCGGACGGUAAUCCUAAGGACAUAGGUGCGUGAGUGACGCGGAUCUAUGAGUUGUGGCGGAGGUUAAGUUAAUUGGGUAUAAUUGUUAGAAUGUCUCUAGUGGUUUAUAGAGAUGGAUUCAAGUGAUACUGUUCACAAUUCGAGGGAGUUAUGUUGGCGACCGACAACAUAGCGCUAAGGAUUGGGAAUGAGUAUGCUUGUGUGCUUCCGCCUAAAUUGGUACAAGGUUGUUUCGUUUCUAAGUUGUGUGGAUUAUCGUGAGUUAAAUAAGGUCACGAUUAAGAACAACUACCAGUUGCCUUGUAUCGACGACUUGUUUGAUCAGUUGCAAGGGUCUCGGGUGUAUUCAAAGAUCGAUCUUUAGUCGAGCUAUCAUCAGUUGAAGAUUAAGCCGGAAGAUGUUCAUAAGAUCGCGUUUCGGAUGCGGUAUGGGCACUACGAAUUCAUGGUCAUGCCAUUCGGGCUUACGAAUGCCCCGGCAGCAUUCAUGGAUCUAAUGAACCGUGUUUUCAGAGCUUUCUUAGAUCGAUUUGUCGUGGUGUUCAUAGACGACAUAUUGGUCUACUCCCGUGGCGACAAGGAGCACGAGGAACAUCUGAGGAUUGUGUUGCAAGUCCUUUGGGAGGAAAAGCUUUAUGCAAAAUUGAAGAAGUGCGGCUUUUGGCUCCGUGAAGUUGCCUUCUUGGGAUAUGUGAUUUCUGAGGGUGGAGUAUCUGUUGACCCGAGGAAGGUUGAGGCGAUCAAGGAUUGGCCUCAUCCGCCGAAUAUAUCGGAAGUCCGCAAUUUUGUCGGCUUGGCGGGCUAUUAUAGAUGGUUUGUGGAGGGUUUCUUGAAGAUCAUUGUUCCACUUACCCGUCUUACACAGAAGGGCACUAAGUUUGUGUGGGGUGAUGAGUGCGACCAGAGUUUUAAAGAGUUGAAGGAAAGAUUGACUUCGACUCCGGUGCUCGCCCUAUCGGUUCAAGGAGAGGACUUCGUGGUUUAUAGUGACGCAUCCUACCAAGGUCUUGGGUGUGUUCUGAUGCAGUGCGGGAAAUUAUUGCUUAUGCAUCCCGCUAGUUGAAAAGCUAUGAGAAGAACUAUCUCAUUCAUGACCUGGAGUUAGCUGCAGUGAUCUUCGCUCUUAAGCAGUGGAGACACUAUCUAUAUGGUGCGCGUUGCGAGGUGUACACGGAUCAUAAGAAAUAUUUGUUCACUCAAAAGGAGCUCAAUAUGAGGCAACGCAGGUGGUUAGAGUUAUUAAGGAAUUAUGAUGUUACUAUCCUUUACCACCCGGGGAAUGCCAAUGUGGUGGCUGAUGCACUUAGCAGGAAGUCGGUAGAGAACCUCGUGAUGUUGAUCACACAUCAGAAAUCGCUCUGGAUGGCGAUUUGAUCUUGAGAUCGUGGCUCCGGAGGUUCCAGCUAUACUUACGGCUCUCGUCGUCCAACCGACCUUGUUGGAGAGGAUUAAAGAUUUGCAAUCCGCAGACCCAGUCUCCAAAAGGUGCGACGCGAUGUCGAGAAUGGACGCAUUGGUGAUUUCCACAUGGGCACUGAUCGUGCACCUCGAUAUCGGAACCGAUGGUGUGUACCGGAUAAUGAGGAAAUCCGAAAGUUGAUUUUGCAAGAAGCUCAUCGAUCUCUUUAUAGUGUCCAUCCGGGCAGCACCAAAAUGUAUAAUGACUUAAAAAUGCACUAUUGGUGGCCGGGGAUGAAGAGAGACAUCGGGCACUAUGUGGCGCAAUGUCUUGUGUGUCAACAAGUCAAAUCGGGGCGUCGAUUUUCGGCGGGAAAGUUUCAGAGUUUACCAAUUUCCGUUUGGAAAUUGGGGGAUAUAGCUAUGGACUUCGUGGUGGGUUUGCCCCGUUUGUCGGAUGGCCAUGAUGCUAUUUGGGUGGUGGUGGAUCGCUUGUUGAAGUCGGUACAUUUUCUACCUAUCCACACUACUUGGUCUGGAGACAAGUUAGCGCAGGUUUACCUUGAUAAGGUGGUGAGGCUUUAUGGGGUUCCAAAGUCGAUCGUAUCGGAUCGAGAUCCUCGGUUUACAUCUCAUUUUUGGAAAAGCUUGUAAGAAGCGCUUGGCAUACGGCUCGACUUUAGCAUAGCGUUUCAUCCUCAAAACGAUGGCCAGUCGGAGAGGACAAUCCAAGUUUUGGAGGAUAUGCUUCGAGCGUGUGUAAUCGUUUAUCGGGGUGGAUGGCAUGAGCAUUUACCAAUGGCCGAGUUCGCCUACAACAAUAGCUACCAAGCGAGUAUAGAAAUGGCUCCAUUUGAAGCUCUAUACGGGAGGAAAUGCCGAUCUCCUAUACAUUGGAGUGAAGUUGGCGAACCGGUAGUUUUGGGCCCCAAUUUAUUGCGAGAGGCGGAGGAAAAAGUCCGCCUUGCUCGCCAAAGGUUGUUGACGGCACAAACUAGGCAAAAGAAUUAUGCGAAUAGGCGCCGCCGGGAUCUUGAGUUCGCAGUUGGAGACCGCGCCUUUUUGAAAGUGUCGCCCAUGAGGGGUGUGAAGUGGUUUGGAGUUCGGGGAAAGCUUAGCCCCGGUAUAUCGGACCGUACGAGGUGGUGGAACGGAUUGGUGCAGUGGCAUACCGGCUUGCUUUGUCGCCCAAGCUUGCGGGUGUUCACAAUGUGUUCCACGUGUCUAAUCUCCGCAAGUACGUUCACGACUCCGAGCAUGUUCUCUUGUUUGAACCGCCCGAGCUUCAAGAGGAUAUGACUUACGAGGAGUUCCCAGUGUCCAUCAUUGCUCGAGAGGUGAGGAAGCUGCGGAACCGUGAGAUUCCGUAUGUUAAAGGCCAGUGGAGUAAUCAUGAUGAUCGUAAAGCCACUUGGGAGCUUGAGGACGCGAUGAAGGAACAUCAUACUCAUCUUUUCGGAGAUCUGGAUUGAGGUAAGAGUUUAGAUUUAAAGUGAGUUAAGUUCUGAGGACGAAACUCCUUUUUAGGAGGGGAGGAUGAAAGGUAAUGAUCCUCGACGCGUAAAUCGAACUUCGGUCGAAAUUGACCAAAGUAUGGUAUUGGACGCUUUGGAUGGGUCCAUUCAGCGUUCCGAAAGUUCGGAAUGGCUUAAAAGGGUGUAAAGGGCCUUGGAGAGCAUUGUGGGAAAUUUUCAAAAAAUUUCGCAGGGAAAAUGCUCUCGUGGUCCGGACCUGUGUAGGGUCCGAACCUCGUAAACGAAAAAUGCCCAGGUUGAGCUAGUGUGCAUGUAUGAGGGGCUUGGGGCAAUUGUUGCAAGUGGGGGAGUAUAUGAGUGGGGUCUCCACUCAUCCCUUUCAUUUCCCUCACAUUCUCCAACCUAAGAGAAAAACCUCCUCUCUCUCUCUCUAAGCUUCUUUUUCUCUCUUCUAGGGUUUGCUCCAAGAGGUGGAGUUGGUGGAGAGAAGUUGCUUGGAGGUAAAGCUUCUUCUUCUUCUUCUUCUUCUUCUUCCUUGGCUUGAGAAGGAGCUUGGUUUUGAGAUAAGCUUCAUGGGUUUUUAUGGUUUAUAGUUAGGGUUUGAUCUAAAUCCUUUAGAAAUGAGUUGUAUGAAACCCUAGGUGAUACUAUGCUUGCUUAUUGUAUAAAUCAUGAGCUAGUUAAGUGUAUUCUUGCAAUAGUGGAUUUUAGGGUUUCUAGAGAGGGUUCUCCCAUGUGAUGGGUUUGGACUUAAAUUAACCAUAUGGAAACCUAAUUGAAGGUAAAACCGACACGAUGGGCAACUUAAACUGGAGUUCCUACGGGCGUGAGGCGAGUUGUUGAAGAAAAGUACGAUUUUCGGUUCGUUUGCGUUGGGUCGAGCCGAAGCAACGUCUAUAAAUCGCGAGGCUAGGAUUCUCGCACCUCUGCAUUGUAAAGAGGUGGGGGUGCUAUCCGAAACAAUCGGAUUUCCUUUUAUGUCUAUGUUAUCAUAUUGGCCAUGUAUAUAUAUGUGUAGGGAUCAUGCAUUGUAGAGUAGGAUGUUGCUUAUUCCAUUCCUUGCAUGCUCUCAUGGUAUUUGUAGGAUAAUAUGAGAUAAAACAUAGUGGACUAUGUGCAUGAGGCUUAGGUUGUGAACAAGGAACUCUAUAGUGCUAUGACAAUGAGAACUUAGAAACAUUGUAACAUACAAAGGUGGCAUUGGGAUAGAGACAUUGUGACAUACAAAGGUGGCAUUUGGCUAGUAAAUCGAGAACACUCAACAUAUGGCGAUAGGGAUUGGUAUCUUCCCUGGCUUUGUUACUACUAGUUGGUAGGGUAUUCUCGGGAUAGAGGAUUGGAUCAUACUCACAUUCGUCUGUUUCGCUUGGCGGUGGUCGCUCCACCAAGCAGUGGUUUCCGGAGUACUUCACGGUAGGGGUUAACGUAGCUACCCCGCAGAAGGUCCCGGGUGAGUGUAGCGGACGUCUCCUCACAUUGCGGGAUUCGGCUGUGAGUUGGGGCUUAACCUUCGGGUUAGCCGGAUCGAUUGGGUUAUGAAAUAUGAAUGGCAUGUAUCAUGAGCAUAGUAGUUGCUAGUACAUGUUUAUCGUACCUAUUGAUUGAAUCAUAUUGCCAAGGUAUGGUAACAUGUUAGAUGUUUAUUAUAUUGCUAACCCUUUCUACUUAUGCCUGCUUAGACCUAGUGAAAAAAUCGGCGGAGUCGGCGGCCGAACCCACUGGCAACUUUUAUUAGUUCUCAUCCCAUUUUGUUGCAGGGCCUUGCACGAGCGGACCGGCUGAGGAUCGCGGUAAGGACAUAGCGCCCUAGAUAGUAGCCUCCUAUGCAUUAGAGUAUCAUGUACCUUUUUGAGAGAUGAUGUAUUUUGGUGAGGUUACUUGUGGAUGUAUAUGUAUCUAGAGAUGAAACAUGUAAACCAAAUGUAUGUACUUGGUUGAUAAAUGUAAAUGGAUGAAUGUGAAUGUAAUAGCUAGUAUUUCUCUCUUGCUCUUACUUGUAUCAUACUUGUAUGAUUCAUAUAUGUUGACUAUGUUUACCUGGACAACUAGAUAUACAUGAUUGAUGUUUGUUGAGCCUUGAGCGGACAGGAAAAACUCUGUCCAUUCGACGUCUGUUGACGUGCCCGAACCGACCAAAUUGGCGGUUGCGAGGUGUGACAACCAUACCAGUCUCCAAAAUAGUACAACAUCUCUAACCACUCCAAGCCUCAAAGCAUUAUACAGGCUGCUAUAAACACUGAUAGGUAGUCCAACUACAUACACGAAAAGGGUAGGAGAUACUAACUAUCCGCAAUCCCCUUACCUCGAUCAGUCGCUGGUGCUAAAGGCUCUGAAAUAAAAUAUUAAAUAAAAGAGUAUGAGAACUAUAAUCAGUAGUUCCUAGUGGGUACGAUCGUCAACGCCAACAAUCUAUACCACUAGGUCCAUAAUAGACAAAAAUAGUAAAUAUUGAGCAAUAUGAAAGAACAGGUAGUAAUAUGAGUAAUUGCUAAAAAUAACUGUUGCUAUCAUGCCUCUACAAUAUAGCUGAAAUUGUAAUUAUGUUUUGCAUGCAUCAAUUAGAGACUAAAUAAAAUACUGUGAUAAUGUCCAAUCAUAGUGACCGACUCAACAGUCAGGUCUAGCCUGCGCCGCCUUGUGUCCAGUACCUACCUUGUCACACCCCGCCGCCUACCCUAUGUAGGUGGAAGGAGCCCCACACGGGCGCGUGCACCAGACCUGCCGAAUGAACAGAGUUUUUUCUGUCCGCCCAAGGCCUCACAAUCGGUACAAUUCAAAACAUUCCAAACAUGAAUAUAAUUCAUACACAGAUUGUAUUAGGAAGACAUCAUAAACAUAAAUAACUUUCUAUUACAACCAUUCAUCUCAUUAAUUUUACAUUUAGAUUCUUCCAAAUACAACCAUAUUUAUUACAUUUCUUUCAUUCCUUUCAAACCCUUAGCUACACCGAUGCAGGGUACAUCUAUCUUUGGUCGCAAUGGCAAGACGCUAACUAUAGCUACGUCCUUUCCUCGCGCCGCUGCGCCGCUUAUAUGUAGACCUGCAAAUUAAAAUGGGGGUGAAAACUACAAAUAUAGUUCCCAGUGGGUUCGGCCACCGACCUCGCCGAUUUUUCCACUAGGUCUAAUCAGGCAUAAGUAGCUACAAAAACAGGUAAGUAAUAAUGCGACUAUACUAAGCAUGUAUAGAACUUACUACUAUGCUUUACAACGGUAGAGAAUGAGUUCCAUGGUUCACUAUAAUCAAUGGCGUUCUUUUACUCACUCUUGACCAACUCAUUCUCGACCCAAUUAGGGAUUACUACAAAUCCAGUCCAACUCACCCCACACAACCUCACGGGUCUAGGUCCAAGAAUAACAAGAUCGACCGUCACUCCACAUGUGACUUAUUCUCGACACAAUCACGGGCUUCUCACAAGACCAAGCCCAACUCACAUGAAUAUCACGAUCAAUCCCACACACAACAUGUGAUCUCACUAUGCUCAGUCUCUAUGCAGGAUGCAACAACAAAAUAUGGCAUAGGGUACAAGACUAUCUCAACCCAAAGUAUAACAUGCAACAAAUGCUAACCACUAUGCCAUCUCAAUAACAACAUAUCAAGGUUCUACUAUGUAUGCAUCAUAUAUGAAAUACCCAUAACCAUGUCUUGAUCCAAAUCCAAUCAGUUCGCCCGUAGGUCGAACCACAACUCGCCACACACUCUGUCACCACCAUCACCGUCUACCGGGGGCGCACCAUCGUGACUCUCUCCCCCAUCUCAAUCUCACUGUGACACUCCGAAGUUCACGGCUUGGGAGUCGCGACCUCCACAAGCCACAACAGACGACGCAAGUAUGAUCAAGUCCUCUCACUCGAGAACCUCAGGGAUCUCACCACAUCCCAAAUAGUAACAAGGCAUGCAAUGCUCAAACAAUGAUGGAAUACACAAUGUCAUGCUAUAAGUGCAAUGACCCAAUCUCUUGGUACUCAGUGUCCAAUCAACUCAUGCCAAUAACCACGGUGACAACUCAACAUCAAGGGAUCUCUUUCAACCCCUAGCAUGGUCUAGAGGAUAACUUUCAAUCCCUCGCAUGCUCAAGAAUCUCAAAACACUAAUUGUCAAAAUCACACAUGCAUCGACCCAAUCCUUUCCACAUAACUCAAGAGUUUACUCAACUCAUGUCGUGUGCAUCAAUAAAAUGUACAAACAUCACAACGCAUGCAUCAAUAGAAUGUACAAACAUCACAACAUGUGGACACAAGCAACUAUGCAAUGCUUUAUGAACAAUGACCACACACUCAUGCAAGGACCCAAUUUCACAUUUUACACUUGGGUUCACUCAAUUUACGCCACAUCCGUCUCAUGCAUAUCACAUUAUACCCGAAUCAUGGUUUCAUUACUAGAUUCACAUAUAAUCAUCACAAUGACGUCUAGUAUCUCACUUGUUUCAAUGUCAACUAUUUGUUUUCUAUGUCCAAUACACUAGUUUUCUCUACUAGUUCAUUAUGUCACUAGGGUUCAAGUAUCACUAGAUUCAUGCAUCCAAGGUUUCAUGUCCUCAAUCGUAAUCAUUCUCACAUUUCAUAAGAGGCAUACAAGUUUCUGGAAUAAGGAUUAAUUGAACCCUAUCAUAUAUAAUCAAGACAUUUAUAUACUCAAUAAAGGGAAUUAGACAUAGGGAGAAACCCAACCAUUCCGGGAAGCACCACCCACCUUGCAACACCUCCGAUUGCUUGUAGACACUUACAAUCGGGCUCCCUCGACUAUUCGCUCCCUAUUGAGUCCGCAUAGCUAACAUCGCCCGGUUCGAGUCGUUACUCAAAACGAUCACCAAACGUUCGCCGGUUUCCAAAUCAAAGUUGUCUGGGGCACUUCUCUAACCUUCAAUUAGAGAUAUAGAGGAUCAAUUUGGUUAAAAACCUCAAAACCCCAAAAUCCCCAAUUCUAACCCUAGAUUCCAAUUUCUCCACAAUCAUCUCAAAAUCCAUAGAGAAACGUAGAUUAAACUAGUUUAGAAUCAUCUAGAGAACUAAAAACCUCAAGUUCAAGGGUUUCAAUAAAAACCCUAAUUUUUAACCCAAAAACGAACCUCACCGAGCCACGAAGCGCCCGAAAGCUUGAUUCUCCACUCCCCCGAGCAUCCCGAGCUCGAUCUCCACCAAAACCCCAAGUUUGGGAGAAAUCUAGAGAGAGGAAGUGAGGAGGUUGUGAGAAGGGCUUUCUUUCUUCUUCUCUUGUGUGUGAGGGAGAAAAUGAGAGAGGAGGAGUUGGGAGGCUUUACAUAUAGAGGGAAGAAAGGACAAUUGCCAAAAACCCCCCGAAAGUCCUUAGCUCAAAAAUGCAAUUUUCAAAAAUUCACAUUUUUAGUCCUUGAGCCUCUAAUUCACUUCUAAUCAUUCCAAAACUCUCAAAUCUCAUUUUUGAGUAUUUUUAAAUUAUUUCUCUAUUAUGCUUUGCCCAAUCGGCACAACUUAGCAUAUUACUUCGAAACUCGGUACACUACACACCUAUAGUGGUCCGUUACCACGCAAGCUACUGUCUCGUCCAUGCCAUAAUAAUAUCUCAUAACCCAACCUUUAGAGUGGCAUUCACGGGGCGCUACCCCAACCGAGUAUAGUAUCACUGUCAAACUCAACAUAGCAUGCAGCCUGUGGUCAAAUGCGAUGAUCAAACAGAUGAUGAUAAAAAUACAAUUAUAGUCUACACUAUCUAUGUCUCAAUUUACUCUACUGGCAGAUGUCAAACUAUCACUAAUAUGGACAUAGAAAUUAGUUAGCCAAUUUUGACCACAUGAAAUCCACCUAUAAUGUAAAUCCGAGGAAAUGAACGGUAGACGGGAUAGCAGCCAUAAUACUCUAAAAUAACUCGAAAAUCCCUCGUCAAAAUUACGCGAAAUCCGUUCCUAGAAAGUAUAAAAAUCAGUUUCAAUCUCUCAAUUUCUAUAAAAAUUUAUCAAAAGAAUAUAAACGAAAAAAUAAUAAUAUUAUGAUACUAACUGCGACGUCGAAACACCAAAAACAUAUGCGUGCACUCGACUCGUUCGCUCACUAGAACGAAACAAAACUUCUUCUCUCCUCUUCUCUUCUUUUUUUUUCUCCUCAACCAAACUCUUUCUCUCUCUACCUUAUGUUCAAAGAGAUAAAGAGAUAAGGAUCAAAGAAGCACGGUGCACUCCACCAACUUAAAUGCAAAAAUGCUAAGAAGCCCCUCAAAAUAAAGUAUUUCAACUUUAGUCCUCAAUAGUUAAAUCUUGAGUUUCAAAGUCCAUUGUUGCGUCUAAUAUUUCGCACCAAAACGUUUCCAACUCAACAAACAAUAAUUUAUACUGUAACCUUGUUAAUUUGCUAAAGUUCAGUAUAUCACAUAUUAUUUAAAAUGAAACCGAUAGUUUGGAAAUUCUAAAAAUCUAUUCAAAUUUUCCUGAAAAUAGAGAUACCCUCUUUUGAGAUAAAUUCUAUUCCUUCCAUAAUAAAAAUAUUCCGUCCGAGUUACUAAUCAACAUUACUAAGCGCUAAAUUUCUAUAAAUUUUUUUGUAAUCCAAUAUAGAUAGUGUAAAUGCUGCGGGCCGAAUCCUUCAACCGUUGAUCCGGUCAAAGAUCCUCCAUCGUAGAGCAUGCAAGGAGAUGGAACGGCUACGAAUAAUGAUCACCCUCGAAGUUUGUGCCCUUUGUCAGAUCAAACGAUUCGGUUGAUGAGGAAUCGAACCAACCGGGUUCGUCUCAAUACAAUAAAUCUAGUUCGACUGAAGAGCUGAAUGUACGAACUACAUAAGGAUUUUUGGUUCAGUUGAAGAGCCGAAUGAGGCCUAUAUUGCUGAUAUUUGGAACAACGUUUACAAAGCUGGACAAAAGAAAAAUUUACUCUGCCAACUACUCCUAGAAAAGACUAUAGAUGCGGGAGAAUGAAAAGAUUACAGGUACACUACUCGUAGAAAGCAAGAAAAUGCGUGGAAUUGGAAGUGGUCUUCUUAUUCGGAGGGAAAAAAGACCCCUCUUCCAGGCGUUACUUGUUUAUUUAUUUUCCGCCUGUUGUUAUUCAGUUAUCUACAUGAUCGGCCACUUCUCUACUUUCGUGGGCUACUACAGGCCGAUUCCAACUGCAUGAAACCGUCUGCGGUUUGUUGUGAUUCGUCCUUUGUUCUCAAUGCACCAGAUACCUAAUAUCCUUGGCUUUUGUAGCUCCUGGUUGUGUCGUGCACCUAUUCACCACGUGGUGCGAUUUUCUUGGCGCCAACAAUUGCCCCCUUGGCAGCUCUCGAACAAGCGGUUUAGUAGCUGGCGUAAUCCUCCUUAAAGGUGCGAAUUUCAAAAUUAUCAUUUCGAAUUGCCUUGUACCGUCUCUUUUCUUAGCCGUCCUUUUACUUUGACGGCCACGAUCUCCUACAUUCUUUUUGUCUCUUCUAAGGUAUUAAUUAGAUUAUUUAUUGCCGUCGUCUUUUCACUAUUAUGGCCAUUUUUUCGGAAUUCCAUCUGAUGGCUCUCCUUUUCUUCUCUCUUUCUUUGCCUUCCAUGCUUUAUUGUUUUCUUCUUCCUUACGCUUCCUUUCUUUUUCAUCCUCGUCUGGGAUUUCAUUUCACUACUUUUUCUUCUUUCCAUCUUUUUCUCUUUCUUUUUUUUCUGUUAGCUAAUGGCUCCAAUUCCCUCUCUUCCUUCAUCUCCUUUUCUUGAUUAUACUCUUCUUCGCCAAUUCGUCAAAACAGAUCCAUCUCAAUUUAUAUUAGGACCUUCAUUCGUAGAUGAUCCUAUUCCUGAAGAUUUUCUUUUUUUAACUGAGGGCCUUCCCCUGAUGGCUGAUGCCAUCCAUCUGUGUUCUUGGUAUGUUUUGACGACUUCAAAAUCAUCUGGGAAGAGUCUCGGACUUAGCCGAGUGCUUCGGACGCCUAUCUCCUCUGGUUAGAUCGUGUCGAGGCAUCCUAUGCUAAUUUCUGGCGCGAGGUCGGGAUUUAUGAAGACAUUCAACUAUCCGAAACAUCUUAUAUAGCCGACAACCUUCUUCUAGCUACUGCUCUCUGCUUUUGAUCUUUUGUUUCCAACACCUUUAUUUUCAGAGGUGGACCUUUCACUCCCACUCUCCUUGAUGUGGUAGCGAUCAUUGGUCUACGCCUUCACAGCGUUACUCUUUCGAUAGCCUAUAACCCAGAUGGCGUAAAUGAUUUUGAGGCCUAUCUUGAUCUGAAAGUUUACCUGAUUUAUACCAAAUUCAUCCGCCGGUUUGCAGACCAGUCUUCUACUCUGGGUACAAGGAAGGAACACACAGCUUUCCUCCUUUACUGGUUAUGUCACAACCUCUUCUGUACACGUUCCCAGAAGAUCAAUCAAGAUUUCGUUUCGAUCGCCGUUGCCUUAACCAACGGCGAGAAAUUAGCAUUAGGUACCUAUUUCCUCUCUUUUGUUUAUAGAGAGAUUUUUGAAUCCAUCAAACCAUUACCAUUGGGUGAUGUGGUUAUUAGUUUUGGGUGCAGUGUCUUGCGGUUUCUACAAAUGUGUUUGCAUAUCUAUUUUCCUUAUUUGUGCCGAACUCCUUUAGAUUUGGAUUCGACUCCCAAUUUUGACACUUAUGGUUUGGCUCUCGGCUGUCCCGAGCCUUUGACCGAAGGUCAACCACUCAAUUUUUCCACUAUUUUAGGGUGUUUAAUGCAAGGAACCACCGUCUCCAUAUUAACUGGUCUCCAUUUGGAGAACGCGUCACUAGUUCGUCUUGGCUUCUCACUCGAUUCGAAGCCAUUCAAGAUCAGCUAGCCUCCUCUCGCGCCAGUGAAUAUGCCAUCGUGUGGUUCUCUAUUUUGGCUGCUAGAGAUUUGCAUGUCAGCUUGAAGAAUCGUUCCAAAUUAACGCCAUGUAUAGAGGUGUAUUUCCCUCACUAUGUAGCACGCCAAUUUGGAUUUGUACAGGCCCUUCCAGCCCCAGCCAAAUUCUUUACGGCCAAAACUGCUUGUGGCCAUCCUCCUACAAAGAGUGCAGCUGAAGCCGAUCAUAUUUUAGCUUUGGGAAAUCGUCUUCGACGGUUUUUAAACUUGUGAGCUUUCGGCUAAACCACGUAGGGGUGUUGGACUUUCGCUUCCUAGAGCCUGGGAAGCCUUUUGUCAACAAUAUUUUCUUUCCCUUAUGACCCUUGUUUUUAGCAAAAUCUUUCAUACAGAAGGUAUGCUGUCUUUCAAAUAAUACGAUUUUAUCCUCAUCUCCUUCUUCCUUUAUUUCAUUCCACCUUAAUUUGGUUCUUCAGGUAAGGAUCCUUUUCUAAUUCCCCUAGAAGAUGUGUUAGGAGGAAAUUCAGACGAAGGCCCUGAGAAUUUGUCUCAUCCACCAACGGUAAAUCUUAUCUUCUGGUGUAGUUUCUUUUUCUGAUGGAUUUCUUCGGCUAAAAUGUCUUUUUUUUGCCAGCCCCUGCUCCUGCCUCAUUGGCCCCACGUUCCAACAAGCGACCGAUAGAGUCUGAUCAAUCGCCUCGGCCAUCGCAACAGAAGCGGAGUAAGACCAUUGGUAUUAAGAUCCGUCCUAUUCAUUAUUUUGUGCCAACUGAAGAGUUUCCGAUGGAAAUUCCAUCGGCCGAUACUCCAAAUGAGGUGGUGAACCCUGUUCAAUCGACCACUGUCGACCCACUUUCUGCCGCUGUAACCCAUCGUCUAUUUCAAUUGAAUCUUCUUCUUCUCACUCUUCAGUCGGAUCAUCACCGUUGUCCUCUUCGAUCAAACAGCCUCCGUCAAGAAAAACUUCUCAUACUCGGUUCGCUUCAUCCUUGGAGUGAGUCAUGUUUGAUAUCAGGCGGCAAGCUCGCUAAGAAGCCCGCUUAGAUAAGAAGCAAGAAGCAAAGAGAAAAUGGGCGGAGGCAAAGAAAAGAAUCGAAGAGGAACAAAAAAAAAGUUGAAGAGAAGAAAAAGAGGAGUAGCCAAGCAGAGAGAGGAGGAAAAAGAUCUCAGGAAGAAGGAGGAAAUGAAGGGAGGAAGAAAAAGAAAGGAAGGAAGGAAAGAAAAAAAAAAACAAAAGGUUGAAGAAGAGAAAGAAGAGCAAGAAAGGGAUAGAGGAGGAGAGGCGAACAUAGACUAUCCUGCUGAUAUUCAAGCUGAGGCUUUUGCAUCAGCUUCUUUGCCGGUAUCUGAACCAGUAGAUCCAUUGGCCAUUUCUCUUCAAGAUUUGGCCGCUUCGAGCCCAAAAUCCAAUGACAAAGAAGACCUCUCUACUAUCAUUUCGACUGAGACCUAGCAGAAAUUGGAUGAAUGUUUAAGACUGUAUAGCAAUGGUCUUUCUAAUUUGGCUCGAAAUAUAGAACAAUUUGAUCGGCUUGGGGCACUCCUUGAUCUAAUCGAUCAGCCAGAUCUUUCUCCUGUAGGUAAAUGUUUCGAUGAGACUUUAUCUUCUCAUCUCCCUUCUUUCUUGACUCGGCAACAAACUAUUUUUGCCGAGUACUUGGCUUUGGAUUAUCAUUUCACCCAGGUCAGUCAUUUCAAAAUGAAAGUCCCCGAAAUGGCAACUCCCAUUACUGACCUGAACCGGAAAAACCCUUUUCUAGAGAACCAAAAAUUGGCUCUUCGGCAGGCGCAUCAUCAAUCUAAAAGAAGAACUUGCUACAGCCGAAUCAGCUCUGGCCCAGACAUCUAAGCGGCAUAUCUUUGUACAAACCCAACUAAAGGCUAAGAAAGAUUAAUGGGUGAAGUUACAGGACCAACUCUCUCAACUUCAAAAAAUUCACCCUAUGAUGAAGCGAAGAAAGCGAGCAGCCAACCUGGCCCAAUCAAAUUUUGAAACCGAGUGGAAUCAACUUAAAGACUUGUUAUCUCGAUCUCUUCUCUGUUUUCUAUUUCUUAACUCGGCUGUAAUAUAUUUCAAGCUUUCAUUUGUAUUUGACUCUAACUUUUUAUUCCUUUUCCUACAUGGAUGGGUAAUCUUUUCUCAAAUACUUUUCAUUGAUUGAUUUGUCGUUUUCUAACCCACCUAAUGUUUUAAGAAGUAUGCAUUACCUCUUGCAACUCUGUAAAUUUGGAAUGGUCCUUCCCAAUUUUUGGACUAUUUCCUAUACACUCGAUCUUUUCGACCGAUUGGAAGUAUUAAGCUUAAAACCAAAGCUCCAACAGAGAAAGAUUUGGCCUUGACUUUUUUAUUGUAUGCAUUGCUUACUUGGCUCUGAUAUGCUUGUAGAUGAUCCAGUGCUAUCAACCGAGCUUCAUCCAUUUUUUCUAAUCUCUCAUUCAUUAAGGUUUUGUAUUUGUUUUCCAUUAGUUCCUUCUGUCUUUCGACUCGCAAAGAAGGAACCAUUAUCUCAGCAGGAACUACGGCCUCAUGGCCGUAUACUAAUUGAAACGAUGUCACCCCUGUUGCUGUUUUUACUGUAAAAUAUAGAAAUCUCGGUAAGCGAAUAUCGAACUUUAGUCAAAAUGACCAAAGUGCGAGGUUGGUAUGCUUCGGAAAGGCCGAAGGCUUCAAAAAGAGCAAAAGUGCAUUGUGGAAGGUCUCGAAGAGCAACUUGGAGCAAAUCUGCACCAUUGCAGAUUUUGUGCUCUCGGGGACCGGUCCCUGAAGGAGAGACCGGUUCCCGUACGUGCAGCCAGUGAGAAGAGAGAAAAUUGGCUAAGUCCUGAGAGUUUUUCUCUCGGGGACCGAUCCCUGCGGGAAGAGAUCGGUCCCCGUGAGACCGGUCCCUCAGGGUGAGACUGGACCCCGGCUGCGUAAACUGCAGAGAGUGCUCUCGGGGACCGGUCCCUACUAGAGAGACCGGUCCCCGUGCCCGAAAAGUGCCCAGUCUGGGCAGUGUGAGAAGCAACAAGUUGAGGGGCCUAAAUGCAUUUAUGCAUCAUAUGGGUUAUAUUGAGGGGCAAAUGAGAUGUUUCUCUCAUUUCUCUCCUUCUUAUUUCAGAAACAAGAGUUCUCUCUCUCUCUCUCUCUCUAGGAAAUCUCUCUCUCCCUCAAGAGGUAGAGCAAGUAGGAGAGGUUGGAGGAGAAGAAGGCUAAGGAGAGGAUUAUCAUCUUCUUCUUCCUCAUUGGUGCAAGAAAAAGGAAAGUUUUGAGGUAAGCUUUGCCCCCUCUCAUGGUAGAACCCUAAGGUAGGUUUGAUUAGACCUAGAAAUAGUUUUAGUAGGAUCUCUUGGUGAAUUUAAGCUUUCUUUUGCUUUUGGAAGAGAUCAAAACAAGGGUUUUAUAUAUAUGUUAUAGCUAGGGCACCCAAAUUUGGGGCUUUUGCAUCGGUUGGUUCUAAAGGCAAAUUGACCUUAUAGAAACCUAAUUAGGGGUGUUUCCGACGCGUUGGUGUGCUCGAUUUAACGUUACGAAAAGUCUAUGCGAAGUUAUGAGCGAAAAAGCCUAAUUUGGCUUCGUUUUGCCGCAGGCAAGGAAAUAGGCGGCUAAGAAUCGUGAAAUUCGAACCCGAGCACCUUAGCAAGCCUACGAGGUGGGUGGUGCUUUCCAAACUCUUUGAAAUUCCUUCUAUAUCUAAGUGUCACUUAUUGAGCAUGUAUGUUUAUAGCUUAUCGUGCAUAAUAGGGUGAAAUAAGAGUGUAUGUUGCAUGCUUAUAGUUAAGAUGCAUUCGUCGUGGUUGAGAACCAAUAAGAAUUGUAUAACCCUAUAUGUGCAUGUAUGGUGACAAGAACUUAGCAAAGUUAAAGAACAAGUGGCAUUAUGACACAGAGGACGAUGGGACAUUGUGAUAUUGAGUACUAGAGUUAUACACCUAGUAAAGUAGUGCGGCAAAGAACAAUAAAUGCUAGAGUUAGCAUCAAGUGUGACAAAGAACAAUAAAUGCUAGAGUUAGCAUCAAGUGUGGCAAAGAACAAUAAAUGCGAGAGUUAGCAUCAAGUGUGGCAAAGAACAAUAAAUGCUAGAGUUAGCAUCAAGUGUGGCGUAAAGAACACUAGAGUUAGUGUAAUGACAUGAUCGAAAACAAAGAAGGCAAAGAACAUGAGAUUGAGACAUAAUGACAUAUAACCUUAUAGUUAAGGGUCAUUUGUGCAUGGUUUCCUUAUAGUUAAGGAAUGGAUUGAACUUGACAUCCUUUGAGUUAAGGAUUGGAUCAUACUCGCCAUAGUCCUUGCUCGGUGGGUGGUAGCUCCCCCACGAGCGAUGUGCUCCGGAGUUCGACAUCACUGGGUUGUAGUAGUUCCUCCCCAGAGGACGAUCCCGUCGAGUCGUAGGAGUUUCUUCCUGACAUUUGGGAUUUCGAGUGGUGAGUUGCUUUGAGGCGAAACCCCCGGGUUAGCCAUGAGAUUGAGAUUGUGAAUUGAACAAGAACCAUGUUUUCAUCAUGAGUAUUAUUGAUGAGCAUUUUUAUUGAUGGCAUUUGUUUAGGCAUAUUAGUUGCAUAUUAUAGUUGGUUACUUAUCUAUCUGCUUCUUUCUAUUAUGCCUGAGUUAGACCUAGUGGGAAAGUCGGUGAGAUUGGGGCAAAACCCACUAGGAACUUCGUUGUAGUUCUCACCCCACUAUUUCCACAGAGCCGGGACCGAGCGAGCCGGCGAGUGACCGCGGUAAAGUUAUCGCGCUGUAGACAGUGACCGCCAAGUUGGAUUUUAUAUUUUGCUUGUAGCAUACCCGUUCAUCAUCUUUUGUAUUUGAUGAUUAGAGAUAUUAAAGAAAUGAAUGUAAGCUAUCUAUAUUGAAGAAAUGUGAUGUAAAGAAAGAAAUGAUAAAAAGCAAUGUAAAGGCAAAUGUGAUUGUGAUAGUUGAAUGCUUGUAAAUGGUUAAAAGUUAAUCAUUCUACUUGUGAGUUGUAUAGUUUAGUAUUCUUUCACUCUGGCUAUUGCUUACCCUCGUGUAAGCCAUUAUGUAUGUUUCCGCUUGUGCAAACUCUUUGCUUGAAUUGUACAUGUGUUGAGCCUAGGGCAGACAGGGGAGGCUCUGUCCGUUCGGCGUCUGUUCGACGUGCCUGGACCGGCCAAAGGGAUCGGUCACAGGGCGUGACAUUUACCGUCAUCCGGCAUGCCCACAACACUUCCGAAAGCUUUUCAUUCCAUUUCCUCGGGUGUUUUCCAAUAUGUCGUUUCAUGAAGGUUUAUGAUAACUUUAUUCACCGCUUCAGCUUGUCCAUUGGCUUGAGCGUAAUAGGGUGAUGAAUGAACCAACUUAUAUUUUCUUGACUCUAUAAACCGAGAGAAUUGUUCUCCCGUGAACAUUGUCCCUUGAUCGGUUGUAAUCGUCUUAGGAAUCUCAAAACGAUGAAUUAUAGAACCUUCUACAAAAUCUAUGAUACCCUUUUGGGUGACCAGUCUAGUAGGUUUUGCCUCUACCUACUUGGUAAAAUAGUCUACGGCCACUAUUAAGAACUUAUGCCAGCAGAGGAGUUUGGCUGAAUUUCUCCAAUUAAGUCCAUAGCCCAUCCUCGAAAAGGUUAAGAUUUAAUGAUUGCAUGCAUUUCGGAAGCGGGACCCUUUGCACCGAGCUAUGAAAUUGACACUUUUGACAUCAUCUGGUAUACUUUACGCAAUCUUCUUGCAUAGUUGACCAGUAAUACUCUAUGCUGAACCGUCCAUCUUAAUCUCUUUCCGGCUAAAUGUGCUCCACACAAGCCUUCGUGGGCUUCGCCCAUAACUAGCAAAGCUUCCUCGGGUCCUAAAACACUUCAAUAGUACUUCCUCGGCUAUCCUCUUAUAGAGUUGCCCAUUUAACAAGCAAUUGCCGAGUGCUUUUUUCCGAAUAUGAUAUUCGACCCGUUAUUAGGGUCGUCUAAGAACUCAAUUAAAGGUUUUCUCUAGUCUUCCUGUGUUUUGAUCGGAACAAUCAUCAUUGGUUUGCGUAUAUGAAUCGAUGGUAACAACUUCUUUCUAUUUCUACUUGAUUCCCUUUUGGCUCUCUGUAUCCUGCAGCCGACUAGCCAAAUUAUUGGCUUUCUCAUUUUCUUCCCUUGAUAGAUGCACGAACUCUGCUUCACCGAAACUACAAAGUAACUCUAUUAUUUUCUUCAAAUAAUUCUACAGAUUUCAGUUUUCAUAUCGGUGUUCCCCAUUUACCUGUUUGAUCACCAAUUGUGAAUCACCGAUGACUUUAAGUCAUCGUGCUUCUAAUUCUCGUAAGAUUUCAAGGCCAAUUAUUAAGGCCGAUUAUUCAGCAUGAUUGUUAGAAUAGUCGAAAUCCAAUUUGAAAGCAAACUGGUAAGUGUAGCCUUCAGGAGACCAUAUAAUUAUUCUAGCUCUUGCUGAUUCGGCUGUUUUUGAUCUAUCGAAAUAGUAUCCAAGGUUGACAACCAACCAAGCUCAGUACUAGUUCCUCAACCUCGGCAUAUGGAUAAUUAGUCAAGAAAUCGACACAUGGAUGAUCAGUCAAGAAAUCAGCUAUUGCUUGCCCUUUGACUGCUUUUGCCAGGAUAAAAUUAGGAGAAAAUUUAGACAACGUUAACAUCCAUCAUCCGAUCCGUCCUCUUAAUACAGGUUUGGAUAACAUAUACUUCACUAGGCCAGUCUUACAGACAAUUGAUACUUCUACUGGUAGAAUGUAAUAUCUCAGCUUAGGACAUGCAUAAUAUAACACCAGACACAUCUUUUCUAUUGCCGAAUAAUAUUUUUCAGCAUCAAGCAAGUGCCGGCUAAUAUAAUAAAUAGCUUGUUCUUCUCUCUCACUAUUUUUCUGAGCUAAUAGACAUCCUAAAUUCUCUGCUGCAGCCGAUAUAUAUAACUUCAUCGGUUGACCUUGGCGAGGAGGCAUGAAGACUGGAGGCUUUGUUAAAUACCUUUUUAUGUUUUCAAAUGCUUCUUGUUGUUCAUCUGUCCAACUGAACCCCUCUCGAUUCUUCUGCCGUAGCAAUGGAGUGAAUAUUCCUAUUCUACCGGCUAGGUUUGAUAUCAAAUGCCACAGAUAAUUAAUUUUUUCCAUUAGACUUUGUAACUCUUUUUUAUUUCUUGGUAGCGGUAGUUCCAUAAUAGCUUUUGCUUUGUUUUUAUCUAUCUCAAUUCCUUUUUUGUGUACUAGGAAUCCGAGAAAAUUUUCUUUUUAAAUUAUAUUUUCUUAUUCAGUUAAAGGCAAGUUUUAAAUAUGUCCAAUGAUCAGCUAGCGAUUUGAAUUUUACAACAAUGUCAUCAAUGUAAACUUCCAACAUUUUGCCGAUCAAAUUAUGAAAAAUAAAAUUCAUUGCCCUUUGAAAAGUAGCUCCGGCAUUCUUUAAACAAAAUGGCAUUACUAUCCAUUCUUAGGUCCCAAUAGACCCCAAGCAUCUGAAAGCUGUUUAUAUGUCUUCCUUGGCAAUGAAAAAUUGGUUAUAACCUGCAUGUCCAUCCAUAAAGGAGCCGGGCCGAGUUUACUAGCAUGUCAGCUAUGGGUUUCGGAUAUUCAUCUUUAGGCAUGACUAAAUUUAAAUUUCUAAAGUUAAUGCAAACUCUAAGUUUGCCAUUCCUUUUUCGCACUGGAACUAUGUUAAAAACCCAAUCAACAUAACGGGCCACUCUAAUAAAAUCGGCAUUCAAAAGAUUUUCUAUUUUAUUCUUAAUUUGAAGUACAAUACUCGGCUUAAAUCUACUAGCCGGCUGUUUAUAAGGCCUAUACCUUUUUUAAUAGAAAGCCAAUAUUCUACAAUUUCUCGGCUCAAUCCUAACAUUUCCUCAUCAUUUCAAGCGAAGCAAUCUUUGUAUUUCAUCAACAACUUCGUUAGCUUCUCCUGCUGCUGAGUCAAAAGCCUUGUGCUAAUAUACGUUGGUCGUUUGUUUUUAUCCGACCCUACAUUUACUUCUAUUAAGGGAUCUUGAGGCUCCAACUUUUUCUCGCCAACUUUGAUCGGCGAUUCUUCUAUGGAUUCCUAUGUAAUUUUAUGGAUUUUAGUGCUAUUUUUACCAGAUUCGGUUGUACUUUUCAUUUUCUGAGCCGUACCAUUUUUAUUUGAGCCGGCUUUAGUAUUUGACAUUUCAUCAAGCGUCUUUUCAUCAACCCAUAUGGCCGAUUUACUAGGUGAUCUUUCCUCGGCCACCUUAGCCAAUUUGAUACACGAUAUUUUAUCGGCCAAAUCGGUCGAUUUGAUGAAAUAGCCGACCCCUUUGGUUGGCUCAUUUUGCCGAAGCUCUUCUAGAGCUUCGGUUACUGACUUUUGAUAUUCCAUUUCAACCAACUCGGUGGCUCUUCCGCCGCCACCAAUGCUUCUUCGUCUUUCAUGAGUACCAAUUAGACUCCUUCUUUGGUGAUCUGUACGAACGAAAUCUGAUCUGGGUCAAUGUCAGCCCAAUUGAUAUGGCCAAUUUCUUCCAAGUUUAUGUCUACCUUCUGAGGCCGUCCCUCGGCCCUGAUUUCCUCCACGCGAUCUCCGACCCACUGAAAAAGCUUCCUAUGUAAAAUGGAUGGCACACACUCAUUGGCGUGAAUAAAAUCAUGCCCGAGUAGCAGGUUGUAGUGGCUAUCUACAUCCACCACGAAGAAGGUCGUUUGUAGAGUUUUGGAUCCGACCAUAAGUUCGACCGUGAGUGCGGCUCUCGCCUAUUGACUAUUUUUAGUGAAAUCGGUCAUGAUUGUGUCACUAGGUUUGUCACGCCAGCAUAUAAGGCGUCUACAACAAAGCGGUAAAUAAAACAAUAAUAAAUGAGCAUCUAGGAGUAUCAGAGUAUAGAACAACUAGGUUCUAGAAUAAGGAGGUAAAUAAAGGAACUAAUCUACUAACAAAAACCAUAAAGUAGUACAAUAUGGAAUCCAAAUACAAGUACUAAUCAUAUCCAAAUGGUGAUCUCUAUACAUGGAUACAAAAAUAGAGAGAGAACCACCUAGAAGCAACAAGAACUCUCCUCGCUCUCUAGCUAGCAGCGACUUCUUUACCACGAUCCCGAGCCUCUCCCGGUGUGGAUGGCUCUGAAAGAAAACCACAAAACAGGGGCGUGAGAACUAUUAAACAAUAGUUCCCAGUGGGCAAUUACUGACCUCAAUGAAAUGUACAACUAGGCUAAAAAGGGCAAAAGUAGUAUAUUCAACUAUUAAAGGGAAAGAACAACAUGCAUAUGAAACUUGAAAUAAACUUACUAACUACUAUGCCUCUACUUUAGCAUAGAUUUCCACGAUAUAAAUGCUAUUCUAGCAUGAAUAUGCAUAAGUAUAACCAACAUGAUGUCCACAAUGUAACUAGUAAAAUGUCAUUGUUUACUAAUUUGUCUAAAGCCCAAUUUGUAUUUUGUUCAAUGAUACUCCAAUCAUGUAGGAUCUACCCAUGGGUAGUCCGGCUUAUGCCGUGCCUAAUGGCCCCGUGGUAGUCAACAUCCCUAUCCUAGGAAUGAGCCUCCCCCACGGCAUCUCAUUUCGGCGCCCAAUCCCCCACGGGCGAGCUUAUGUCGUAAUGGCUAUCUCCGGAGUGCAGCUUGUGGGGAGCGACCCUCACAAACAUGUGCGAAUGAGAACAAUGGCAAGAAAGCGUAAAUAUUCGUCUCAAGUUCCAAUGUCAUCAUGUCUAAAACAUUGCAUGAAGCUAGUGACCCAAAAGCCCAUCUCUAUGUCAUCAUAUAGAAGUUUAACCAUUCAUUAGGUUGGAUGCCCCUUUAUGGCAUUUUUGUCUACUAUGUCAAGUGUGAGAUCUAAAUCCAAGAGCAUAUUAUAUAAGUCAUUUUCUUUGCAAGAAACAUAAUUUCAAACCAUAUAAUAGAAUGCUAUUCUCAUGCAUGCUAACAAUGCAUAUAUCUCUCUCCACUAUAUAGAGGUAAUUUUCAUAAAAUAUAGCACAUGUAUUUCAAGCAUUCCAAACAUCUCGUAUGCUCUAUCUAGCAUGAAUAUGCAUGUAUUUCUAUUUUACGACAUUUAAAAAGUGACAUAGGUGAAGUUUUUCUCAUUUCGAAGAAGUCAAACCCACCGAGACUCCUCGUAACCCUUCGUUUGCGCCGACGAAGGUGUCCACUACUCUCCUAGCUCCCUAAAGAUAAUAUUAAGAGAGUUAAACGCAACGAACGAACAACCCUAAGCUCAAACAUUAAUCAACCCAAGAAAAGGCCAAAAUCUCAACUUAUAAGGUGAAAACCUCUCUCAAUCUCCAAAUGAGAGUUAGAGUCCUUCUAAUCCAACCUAAACAAAGGUUCUAACUCAAUCAAUAGAGUUCCAAAAGCCUCUAAUCAAAAAUUCCCAUUUUAAACCCUAAUUUUCACAUUCUAGGAUUUUAUCUCAAGAAAUCCAUCAAAACAUGGAUCAAAAGGGAAAAACAUGCUACUAACCUCUUUAGAAGCUUCAAAUAAGGCUUAAAAUGAGCUAGGGCUGAGAAUCUUCCCUCCAACAAGUUUCAACCCGAGCUCCCAAGCUUCUCCCAUGGUGGAAAUAGCACUAAGAAGCAAAAAGAGGCCAAAAGAGAGGAUUAAACCUCAAAAAUCCCAACAAAAUAGUAAAAGAUCAAAGAGAAGAAGUGGAGGGCUCCUUACCUUUCUCUCCUUAGUUUCCAAGCUCAGAGAAACAUCCAAGGGCAUGGGGGGUACUUGUAGUAUUGCUACAAUAACAAAAACACCCCUUAAAAACUGCCAGACUGCAGUCUGCACUGAGUACCGGUACCAUCGAAAAAGAGUACCGGUACCAGUUACUGUACACACAAACCCGAACCUCGGGAUGGCAGAAAACAGCCCUUGAUACCAGUACAAACCCGAUGUUGUACCGUUACCACCUCCUAUUCCGGUACAAGCUCAAUGCUGUACCGGUACUCUGCUCUGUAGAGUCAAACCCAAGAGCAGCCCAAUUUCUUUCACUUUAGAGGUUUGGUGCUAAGUUUUAAGCCUUGAUUCUCGAGAUGUGAGCCAUAAGUCGGAACACUGUCAACGACCCUCCAGAAUAUCUGGAAAAAUUCGAAACACAGAUCAAACACUCGAACCUCACAAUUUGCAAAGGUCCAGUGUGUUACAAGGUUUGAGUUCAUCCUCACUCUUACCCAAUUUCUUGAAAAAUAAUAUAGGCAUGACAUUGACCAUCGCCCCACUAUCCACCAUCACUUGGCCUACAAGUCGUCAUUCUAUCAAAUCCCUAACGAAUAAAGGCCUGACAAACCCCAUGUGAAGGCUGAGUUUUUUUCUAUAUAAAUUUGACAUUGUUUUAAAUGUUAUUGUGUGCUUUCUAAUGUUAAACUUGCUCGUCAAUUUUUAGUGACAAAGGAUUUAAAAUAAAAUUUUUACGCGAUUAUUACUUUUCACUUAAAGUGAAUAGUAACUCGGGUUUUCGGGAGAGGCCAUUGUGCGAGAUGGCUUCUGGCGUGUAUCGGACUCCGUUCACAGUGAUCCAAUAGCUCGUUUUCAACUGUCUGAAUAUUCCAGACCCUUUGGCGCUGACGGAUCGUGGUUUUGACGCAUGAUUUUUGAGAACAUAAGAUUUUAUUGCAAAGUGGGUUUUUGUUCUUUAUCGUUUCUGCUUUUUAAAGUUUACCGUUGCUCUGUUUUGCGUGUGGACCCUCGGGCAGGGACCAUUUUGUGAGAGAAUGCUUGCAUCGAGGGACUUUGGCCGCAAUUUGGCUAAGUUAGGGGAUUUGAAGGCGAUUAUUAGUUUAUUUAUAAAAGUUGCUUUUGAGGUGUUGGAAGAGGGUUUGUUUUGUCGUGAAUCGGCGACCGUUCUAAUGAAACAAAAUCAUAGGUUUGAUGGUCUGGCAGUUUUGGAAGCGUUGGCGCGAUCCCUCCGUAAAUUCAACGAAUCGAUCGUCCGAAAUUGUGCGUUUAUCGAGGAUGGGAUGUUUUUGCAAAACGGGUAUUUUUGUAAAACAUCCAAUAUUUUAUGUACUGUUUCACGAGGAAUUGCAUGUGGAGAUGCAUUAGCGCGUUUUACACAUGCCCUGAGGGACUCAAGUUCAAAUUUAGAGUUUUCGGGGGGUUUUCGGCAAUUAUAUAUUUUGUAUAUAUGUAUAGUUUAGGGUUCCUUUCUCUUGAACCCUAACCCUAACCUCCCCCUCUCCUCUCCCGAGCUCUGGCCACCGUCUCACCAUUCUCUGGCACCGCCGCGUGCCUCCCCGACUGCCGGCGACCCUCCCCAGGCCGGCCAAACCUACUGCCACCUUUCUCUCUCUCUUUCUCAAGCUCUCCCUCUUCAUCUCUCCCUCUCUAGACCCGACGCGACCAGGGGAGCCGUGCCUGUGUGGAUCCUCUUUCCCCCAUCUCCUGGACCUCCGGCGACCACCUCCGGCCAUCCCUGUGCCGCCAGAAGCCGCCGCAGCCGCCGCUUUUCCCGUUUGGUGCAGUUUUUGGCACUGGCAGCUGAGGCUACUUGAUGCGCCGCUGCCACUGCCGCAGCCCUCAGCCGUCACCGCCACCCUCAGCCGCCGCCGUCGCCUCCCUCGGGCCUCAGGGGACCUGCUACUGUCGUCCCCAACCUAUCCCGGCCGUCACCGUCGUUGGGAGGAGCCGCCGAGCCUGAGUCCUAGACACGGGUUGGCCGUACUUGCUUCCAGCGCCGCCGCCGCUGCUUCCCGCCGCCGGUCAAGGUGAGCACGGUGUUCCUCACCUUCCCCGCAUCCACCCCUCGCCCGUGCGUGCAUUGCCAUGCAGCCGGCAGUCGACCGGAGCAAGCUUGCUCCGGCCAAACUCGAAAUAGGGCAUUUCUUGGGUUGCUCACUGUUCCGAGAAACCUGAGGCCUCCUAAUCUUCGAGGAAGGGACGACGAUGAUUGUAACUCUUCGCCGAUCAUCGUGCUCACCUCAGUUUCUAACGGGAAGGCUUCAUUUCGCUGUUUCAGCAAUGUCGCUCCUUUGGGCCUUGUAUUCUUGCACUAUUCUUGGGCUCGGUGUGCUCCGCAGCUAUUUUCGAUGCCUUGGACAGUGAGCAUGGGCUUCGCAGCGAUGAGACCUAGCUGUUGGUGCCCUCGUUGGUCUUGAAAUCGUGCAAUAGCGGUGAGGUUGCCUUUUUAGUGUGUUAAUUCAUUAGUUUAUGCUAUUUAUGUAUUGUUUGAGGGCUUCCAUGCAAUUGUGACAGUGUGGGAUGCCUCAGGCAGCAUGUGACCACCUCGUAUGACCCUCUGGACUGAUUGUCCAAGUCCUCGAUACUUUCGCGAGAUCGAACCGUGUUUCGAAAUGUUUUUUCGACGAAAUUGUCAGUGAAACGUGUUUAUGAUGUAGGACUCACUUUGUGGAGUUGUGGAUUCCCUAGUUUCAUCGUUGAGCCUUGUUGGCUGGUUUCCCUUACUGUCCCGAAGUUUCGGAGACAACCGAUGAGCGACGGAGGGUUUCGGUGUGGAAACGGCAUUUUUGGGAACCCGGGUUGUCAUUUCGGGUGCGUUUAUGUUUACAUGCACCCUGUACUUGUGGUUGCUAUCCAACUACCUAAAUUGGUGUGUUUACCUACAGCUGGUGACUUGGGUUGCUUAUUGGUACCUCCCAAGGUAUUUCCUUAGGUUAGGAAUCGUUCGGGUGGACUUUCCGAAAAUUUGGCGAUUUCGGGAUUGUGAGUUUAUUAUUUUCGAGUCGACUUGACGGAUCUUGACUUGGUCUUUCGUAGGUCCAAUCGACGUUCCUGCGAGCCUUGGGAGUUAGGCUCUUCUCCAGUUCAGGUGGGUACUUCGUUCUUGUAAGGACCUGAAAACUCGAGGUGCAGAUCCGAAACUUUGAUCUAAAUUGAUCGAAGGUGAGUUUGGGACGCUUCGGAAAGGCGGAAGGCAUCGAGAAGGCAUAAAGUGCAUUGAGGAAGGCCUCCGAGAGAAAGUUGGAGAAUUCCUGCAAGUGCAGGAAUUAUGCUCUCGGGGGCCGGGUCCCUCAGCCGAAGGACUGGUCCACGUAUGUGUGGGAAAUGGCAGGAAGGAGCCUACCUACAUGUUUUGCUCUCGGGGACCGGUCCCUCAGUGAGAGGACCGGUCCCCGUAAGCGUGAAAAUGGGUAGACAAACUCUUCCCGCAGGAUUUGCUCUCGGGGACCGGUCCCUCUGUAGGGAGACCGGUCCCCGUAGCCCGAAACUGCCUGGGUUGAGCAGUCCAUAGGACAAAAAGUUGAGGGGCCUAUUUGCAAUAUUGCAUUAGAGGGAUUAUAUGAGAGGGGUUAUUCUCAUUUCUCUCCCUCUCUCCCUCACAACUAAACCCUAAACUCUCUCUCUCUCUAGGAUAGCUCUCUCUCUCUCUCACAUCAAAGAUUGAGCAAGGAGGAGAGAAGGAUGGAGAAGAAGGCAAGGAGGAUAAGAGCCAUCUUCAUCUUCUUCUUCUUGUGCUUGGAGCAAGCUUAGAGAGGCAAGCUUCUUGGAGCUCUUUAAUGGUGGAUUUCUAGGGUUUAUCUUUUAUACUCUAGAAUCGGUUUAGAUGGAACUCUAGCAUGCUUAAUAGAGGAUUAAUGCAUGAAUCUAGGGAUUUAUUUGGAGUAUUUGCAAUAGUUGCAAACCUAGGGCAUCCAAAAAGGGAGUUUUUGUGAAUAGUUGGGUUUGAUCUCAAUUGACCCUCUGUUAACCUAAUUGCUAGGUUUUCCGAUGCGUUGGCGAGGUCGGUUCGACGUUUCGACGAACCUACGAGAAGAUAUCGCCGAAAAAGGCAUUUUCGGCGAUGUUUCCGCCUGGAGGGCCAACGCGGCGUCCAUAAAUCACGGGAGUGGAUUCCGAGCAUCGCGGCAACUAACCGAAGACCUAUAAUUUCCAGGGCCACGAAUCGACGCACGGUUAGGGUGCAGUUGCAUGAAUGCAUGAUUAGCAUUGUGUGGAUAUGCAUGUGAACUGGAUCGAUGACUCUAGAGUAAGUAGAGAACUCGAUAUUGGACAAUUAGGAUGUCGAAUAGAUCGAGUGGCAUCGAACCUAGUGUUGUUGAACCUAGGGUGAAUCAUGAGUGGCAUCUAACCUAGUGUUAAAGAACAUAGGUUGUGAAUGAACCUAGAGUUAAAUAGAUCUAGGUGAGUGGCAUCCAACCUAGUGUCGUGAACAUAGGUUGAACAUGAAUGACAUUGAACCUAGUGUUAAUAAACAUAGGUCGGAUAUGAAUGGUACAGAACCUAGAGUGUUGGAACCUAGGUUAUGACAUGUAGUAAACCUAGAGUGGAAUUGAACCUAGGUUGUUGAGCAUAAUGGUAGCGGCCACAAGGAUGUUCUGGGUCGAACCUAGAUAGGUCGACAGCAUAGGGUUGGAUAUGGACCCUUGAUAUGUGCAAGUGGAUUCCGGAAUCCCAGGACUUGAGAUGACCUCGGUAUCAAGGCUAGGGCGUGUGCGAUAAUUUCGUCGCCGAGAUUGAUACCAAGGUGGAUUGGGUGUGUGUACAGUGUUCGCCACCCGGAGGCUUGAACCAUGGCUGGGUGUGUGCGACGAUUUCGCCGCCAGAUGGUUAAGCCGAUUGUGAAUCAGGCCGCCAGGUGACUUGAGUCCGUUCAGCGUGUGCGAUGAUUUCGCCGCUAUGGGGCUAAGUCACGGAGGGCGGUUGGCUGAGGUGCAGCCAGCACGUGGUAGUCCGCAGAUGAUUAACUUGAGGCCGAGUCGAGUGGAUAGCUUGGAUAGGGUAGUGGAAACCUUAUAAGCUAGUGAUAAAGGCAAGAGAUAAGGUGAUAGUGACCUUAUGAGCAAGUGGAACUUGAAUUGUGAACUAAGGUAGUAGAACCUUAGAGGCUAGAUGACUUGAGCUAAAGAUAGCAAAGUUGAGAGUAGAAUCAAUAGAUCUACUAGUUGUUGGUUAAUGUUCAUACUGCAUGUUGCGCGGCAUAAUAUCUGUUAGUUGCAUUAUAACAAGAUGAUAUAUAUAUCUAUAGAUGUUUUUGGACUAACAUGAUUGCAGUGCCUCCUUGGACCUAUUGGUCGAGCUCUUUCCUUGGGUGGGAACCAUGGAGUUGGUUCUCACCCCACGUUGUUUUGGAGUGUUACAGGUUUGCACGUGAGCGGCGCGGCGGUGUGAGGCAAGGGCAUAGCUCCGUAGAUAGCGCCCUACACAGAGACCAGAGAUACCGGUACCCCGAGUAGGCAUAGCCUAGGGGUAGAGGGAAAUGAAAAGAACAUGAUGUACUAAAACUUGUAAAUAAAUAAUUGUAAUAAUCGGAUUGUAUUUUGGAAGUUCAAUGUAAACAAAUUGUAUUAUGUGGAUUUUGAGAAUGAAUGCUUGUAAUAGUGAAUAGUUUUAUGUUUUUGAUACUUCUUUAUGCAAUCCUUGAUUGAAAUGUGUUCCUGGUUGGAACUUCAUACAUUGUAUUGAUUGCGACGCCUGGAACGUACAGGGGAGACUCUGUACACGGUACAGGAAAACCCUGUCCGUUCGGCGCUGUCGGCGUACCCGAACUCGACCAAAAAGGCGGGUCGCGGGGCGUGACAGUUCCGGAGUCGGUACAAUAAACUAGCUCGGUGAUAUCUCUCUUUUUCCUUUCUCCUUGCAUGUUAUGGAUAAGUGUGUUUCCACUAGACUUCCAGUUAUUAUUCUCUACUUCAUCCUUGCAUAUGAUAGAGGUAGAGUGGUGUGGUGUAUCCUGCAUGAUCUUAAGGUGAGACCUGAUUGGUCAGUGUUGAUUGGCUCAGUGAUCCGAGCGAUCUCUUGGACUUGUGUUAGUCGUUGCUAUUCUCGGCUUGUUGUCGUCCUGUGGAUUGAGCAUUUUGCAUCAAUCGUCACAACUCAUUUAGCACUUCACGAACACCGGCGGUUUGGCCAAUGUGGGGGGUGUUUUUUUUCGAAAAAGUAGUCGUCUACUACACCCGUGAGCCUCUUGCCAGGUACUUGCAGAGGUUGUGUGCUUGUGGGUGAGCAUACUGUGACAUAGCCUGCGAUCCGCUGAUUUAUAGGGCAUAGUGAUUGGGUUUCUAGUUUAUCUAUAGUUGAUGCAUAUGCUUAUUAUUUGUAGUAGCAGUAGUUGUUCAUACCUGUGCAUACCUUAUUUGCAUUAUUCGUUGCUAUACUUGAUAUAUAUAGGGCGAGCAUACUGUGACGUAGCUUGUGAUCUGCGGAUCUAUAUGGCAUAGUGAUUGGGUUUUUAGUUUAUCUACAGUUGAUGCAUAUGUUCAUUACUCAGUAGCAGUAGUUGUUCAUACAUGUUUAUACUUGUUUUCCAUUAUUCGUUACUGUCUUGAUAUAUACAUAUCUAUCUGUUGCUCCUCCUUUGCCGGUGAGUACGCCUCGCCUUCGUCGGCUUGCAGUACCCACUAGGAGGGUAGACAUGUUUACAUGUUCUCACCCCUACCAAUUUUCAGGUGAUCUCGGUGGUGGGAGUCGGGACGGUGUGUGAGGUGCGAUAGCUAGUGAGCUAUAGAGGUUCCGACCACUCAUCGUUCGGUUAUGGUUGUUAUGUCUUGACCUUUCUUUGUAUAUUGGUUAAUAAAAUAGAGUUAUGUGGUUUAGUUACUCAAUUAUCUAUUGUUUGAUUGCCGGACUUGGUGGUUUUUGAAUAUUGUGAAUGAUUGUUUAUUCCCAAUAAUUCAGGAUGAUAAAUGUGGUUUUAUCGCUCGUGGUUUUCUAUCCCUCGCGGUAGCUGGCUUUCCAAAAGAAAGUUUCCGUGUGGGAAACAGUUUCUAAAGGAUUUUCGAAUAUAUCGAUAUCUAGUGUUUUUAAAUAGAGUUUCCGGGUAGAAAACACUUUUCAAAGAAUAAAAUUGAUCGUUGUAUGUGCAUUAGCAUCAUCCUUUGCCUAAGGAGUGUUUAGAGCAUGCAUCAUCGUAAGGAUGGUUAGCUGAAUGGUUGUCUGACAUUCGCAUUGUAUAUGCUGUUUGUGCGAAUGGAUGAGUGUGUUGUUGUAUUUGCUAUAUGAGUACGCCGUGCAGAUACAGGAAAGACUCUGUCAGUGUGAACAGAGAGAUUUCUGUAUCUAUGGCGGGUCUGUUACGUCUUGGGGACAAGUUGUAAUUUCAAAAAAAAUAUAUAUGGGCAUUUUCGCUGACUUUGUUUCAAACUAGCCCCUAUGAUUCGAAAAGGCUUUAUAAAAAGGACCCUGGGGCAUGACACCCUACCUGCAUAGCUGAUGGUUUUUCAAAAACUACCGCAUCAGCCACCUUAGCAUUUUCUAACUGGAGCUGAGCCAUUGUAAGCUCCUCUCCAUCAUAAAUUGACUCUUCCAAUUCUAUUGGUUCUGCCUUAAACGAAUAUGGUAGAGCAUAUACCAUGCUUACAUCAGCCGAGCUUUCUUCGGCCGAUUUUUUUUGUACUUUCUGUUUUUUCUCCUCUGACUCUCUCACUGCCUCAGCCGAAGAAUCCCUCUCCGGUCAAAUCUCCCUCUCCUUGGGAGGCUACCUAUCUCACUUAAUGAUUGUCUUUGGCGAGGCGAUCUUCUCUUCUAAUUCCUUUUGAGUAAAUUUCUUUGUUGGCUCACUUGGAGCCGAAUGUUCAAUUUUGGACUUUAACCAUGGGACAGGCUUGGAACCGCUUACUUCAUAGUCAUUCUUCAUAGGCCAAAAAGACGGCGGUGAUUCAUGCUGAUUCUAAACAUUCGGCCUCAUACUUUUUGCCUCUUCCCAAUGAUAUCUUGCUUCGGUUUGCAUCCUUUGCUGCCGACGCUUUUGAGUCUUGGUUAGCAUCGGCCCAUGCCAUUUGACCGGUGCUUUCCCAAUGUGCCAUUGAUCAACUGGCAUAUUGGUAGGUACCUUUAUAGUUCUGAGAUGUUCCCUCAUAAUCUCUUUUCUUUCCUACGAUCUCGGCCAAGGUUGAAUGCCGAGCUCGUUAACCAGUGUUCGGCCGAGGAAUUCAAUGUGACCCUCGGUCAUCCCCUCAAAUUCAGGUUCGGGUCGCGGCGAUCUGGUCUGAUGAUGCCAGUUAGGCUGGUACCUCGGAUACCUUUGUUGUGUGCCGAAGGGUUUCUCGUGAUAAUUCCUUUGGCUGAUUCUUUCUUCGGUUUUAUGAUUAUAGUAAUCAUCUAUGACCUUUUGGAUUAUCAAGUCUUUUUUAUCCGUUUUUGACUCGACUUCCUCUUCAGAGCCAUUUGAAUCACUUUCUGAACAGUCAUCCUGAUCAUUCUUCGCUUCAGGAAGAUCUUUUCAUUCUUCCGAGAAUGCCAUGAACUCCUUCCAUUCCCCGUAUAACUUUUUUCCCCAAAUGAUCGCCUCCCAGUCACGUCGCAUCAUUUCGGCCCUCCACCAUAUGCAUAGCCGAAGUGCUCUUCUGUAUUGGCGAUAUCUUGGUCCAUCUUCUCUUGAACUAAUGCCUUUUCUUGUACAUCCACCAUAUUAACCUGCGAGGGAAAUGGAUUCUGAUCAACUUCCAUGUUCUUAUUUUCUUGAUCGGCAAAUAUGAACCGACCUUCACUUAUCUCUUUUUGAAUUUUUCCUCUUGAAGUUGUAGCCAUAGUACAAUCAUUUGUCCUGUGGCUCCUUGAAUGAUGCCACUUACAAUAUCUUUUUCUUUUUAAUUCUUCUCUCGAGGGUAUCAUUUGUCCCUCAUGGAGUUGGAUUCCACCAUCUUUUAAUAACCGAUCAGAAAUUAAAUCAAUUUUUGUUACAUCGAAAGAGUAUGUAUAUGAUGCUACUUGUGCUUUAGCUUAACUAGCCUUGGCUGGUUUAAGCACAGUGCAUGUAACAUACCGAAACCUCAGUAAUUAAAUUCGAACCUUGGUCAAAUUGACCAAAGUGCGAGGUUGGUACACUGCGAAGAGGCCGAAGGCGUCAUGUAAUGCAAAAAUGCAUUACUAGGGACCUUCGAGAGCUUUGAAAAUCAAAAUCUGCAAACUGCAGGUUUUGUGCUCUCGGGGACCGGUCCCUGGUGGGAGAGACCGGUCUCCAAACGCGUAGGCAGCGAGAUGGCUAAGAAAUCGGCUAAGUCCUGGAAAAUCAGCUCUCGGGAACCGGUCCCUACGAGUAGAGACCGGUCCCCGGAGACCGGUUCUAUCAAGGGAGACCGGUUGCAUCACGCGUAGCCUGCGCAGUCCGCGGGAGGAGCUCUCGGGGACCGGUCCCAGGUCGGGGAGACCGGUCCCUCACUGCCAAAAAUGCCCAGUCCGGGCAGUGCACAGAGAAAGAGUUGGCGGGCUUAGUUGCAAAUGUUGCAACAUGUUAUAUGUCCCAUCUCCUCUCCCCUUUUCACAGCACACACACACACCUCUCUCCCUCUCAUUUCCUCUCCUCUCUCUCUCUAGAAAUCACCUAGGGCUUGAAGGAGAAGAAGAACAAGAAGCUCGAGGAGGGAUUUUUGGUGGACUUGGUGGGUCUAGGAGCUCUUCAACAAGAAGGAGCUUGCUAGAACUUGGGCCAAGGUAAAUUUUUAGCAAGUAGAGCCCUAGGGUUUGGAGUUUAACCUUAGAUUUUGGAGUUUUGGUCUCUUUAGAGGUUUUAGAAGAGUAGUACAGCUUUGAAUACCAUGAAACCCUAGUUUUCUUCAUGGUGCUCUAAUGGGGGAUUUCUAGGGUUUGCAUUUUAAACCCUAGAGAUGGUUAGGAUGGUUCUAAUGAGCUUCUAGAGCUUAGACAAGCUCUCUUUUGCUUGUUUUAGAGAUCAAAACCUAGGGUUUAACAAUGGGUUUGGUUAGGGCACCGAAUUUAGGGUUUUGCCCAAGGAUUUUUUGGGGGCGAAUUGACCUCGUAGAAACCCAAUUGGGGGUGUCCUCGACACGUUGGACAACUCCGUUUGACGUUACAAAAAUGUUUAAGUAUGGUUCAUGUACAAAAGGCCUAAAGUGGCACUAUUUUGGUUGUAGGUCGCGGUAUCGGCUUUCGUAAAGUUUGGGAGUCAUCAUAUUCUACGCCCACACGACCACUUGAGGUGGGUGGUGCAUUUCAAGGACCUCAAAAAUUCCUUUAUGUCUUAAGUGUCAUGUUUGAACAUAUAUGUAUAUAUUGAGGAUCUUGCAUAGUAGGGUUAAUUGCGAGCUUUGUUGCAUGAUUGUGAAAUUAAUUUCGUAUGAAAUACUUGUGAGAAUGUGAGAAUUAUAACCCUAUGUAUGCAUGACAAGUAACAAGAACCUAGAAGGGUUAGUGAACAAAAGUGACACAUGGACAUUGAUCUAGUGAGUGACAUUGAUGGGUCUAGAACACUUAGAAAACAAGUGUGGCAUUUGGCAUGAGAACAAGAACAUAGCACCUAGAAAAUAAGUGUGGCAUGAGUACAAGAACUUAGUAGUGUAUAUGACACUAGUGAUAGUAAAGAAUGCAAAGAAAAGAAUGAUUGAGACAUAUGACAUUUCAACCUUAGAGUUCAAGGUCAUUUGAACAUGGUCUUCCUUAAAGUUAAGGAAUGGAUUGAAUUUGGAAUCCUCAAUGUAGGAUUGAUCGUACUCACCUUUUAGUCCUUGCUCGAGGGAAGUAGCUCCCCCUCGGGCGAUGUGCUCCGGAGUCGACAUCACUGGGUCAUAGCGGGUAUCUCCCCAAAGGACGGUCCUAUCGGGUUGUAGCGGGUAUCUCUCCGGUUAAAUAGGAUUUUGGGUUGGUGAGUUUGUUAAGGGCGAAACCUACAGGUUAGCCAAGAGAUUGGGUAAAGAAAUUGUGAUCUUGCAUUCAUCAUGAGCAUUAUAUCGAGCAUCGUAUUUUAUAUUGUUCAGGCAUAUUAGUUGCAUUUGUUAGUUGGUUACUUUCCUUCUUCUAUUCUAUUAUGCCUGAUUAGACCUAGUGGGAUAGUCGGCGUGGUUGGUUGCCGAACCUACUGGAAACUUUGUUGUAGUUCUCACACCCCUAUUUCCACAGAGCCGGGACCAAGUGAGCCGGCAGACGACCGCGGUAAGGGCAUCGCGUCCUAGGUAGAGACCGCCCGAGAUGUUUUAUUUCAUAGUUGCAUACCCCUUUUGAUACAUCAUCUUUUAUAUUUCGAAGAUUAUAGUUGUUAAAUGAAAGGACAUGAAUGAUGUAAAAGAAUUUAUUUAAUAUCAAUGUAAUAUUUUGGAGGAAUGGGAUGUAAGAAAGGAAAUGAUGAAAAAUUGUAAUAAAUUCCUAAGUGUAGUUAUUUUCUAUCACUGUUGGCUAUUGCUUGCCCUUGCGCAAGCCGUUGUGUAUGCUUCCGCUUAUGCAAACUUUAUACUCUAUUGAUGCUAGUUGUUAAGCCUUGGGCGGACAGGGGAGGCUCUGUCCGUUCGGCGUCUGUUCGACGCUCUCGAAUCGGCCAAAAGGAUCGGACUCGGGGCGUGACAGUGCAUUUACACGGUUGACGGUUCUUUACCAUCUCCGCUACAUAAAUUUUGACUUCACUAGCCGAAUCCUCUGUUUCGUAAAAAUUACUCGGCUCGUCUUGAGUCAAGGAUUCCUCAAUAAAAGAGACAUUUUUCUCCUUUCCUUUACCCCAAUCUUUGUUUCAGCUCCAUUUAGGUCGAUCCUCAUUAUUGCCUUUCCUGAAUUGCUCAUAUUGAGCAACUCGGACACCCAAGUUAAACAGAUUUGGAAAAUAUUUAUCUUCAAAAUAAUUUUUAUCUUAAAAUGCAGACCAUUGAAUGUCAUUUUGGCAAAUUCUGAUUCUGGUUCUAACGAAACAACGGCUUCUCACUAUUUUAAACCGGUUCAAGUAUUCUUCAACCGAUUCUCCUGGCUUUUGCUAGAAUUGAGGUAGAUCAACGACUGAUAGUUCUAGUUCUGAUCUAUAGAACUACUCAUGAAACAUUCUCUCCAAUUCGUCCUAAUCACAGACAUAAUUGGCUGGUAAACUUGUGUACCAAGUAAACGCCGUCUUAAUUAAUGACAUGUUAAAUAAUCUAAGUUUCAGGAACGAAUCUGUGGCGGCCUCCCUACAUUGGGGCGUAAACGCCGCCACAUGCUCAACAGUGUUUUUGAUUUCAUCACCGAAAAAUUUGUCAAAUUUUAGCAUUUUUCAGUUUGCUAGAUAAGGAUGUUCUACAUCUAUAUUUGCAGGAUAGGGAGAUCUAAAUAUGGGCCACAUUGCCGGCCUAGCUCCUACUCCAAAGGUAUUACGAAUGGCUUCCUCUAUUUGAGCGUAUAAUUCAUUAUUGUUCCUUAAAGCAGGAACGGGAGCUUGAGGUUUAGCCAAAUUCGGUCCUUGAGGAAUUCCAAAAUUUUGCACUGGUACAACAGGGUUCAUUCCUUGGACAACAUUGGGGGCUUGCCCCCUAACCCUAAUCCCUAUAUUUUGGGGUUGAUAGGCCGUCACUGGUGGCGGGAGAGGUAAUCCCCAUGCUACUUCUAGUUGUUGAGCAGAAUUUAUAGUCGCCAGUCUAUAAGCAACUUGAUAAAGAGCUACCUGAGGCUUUGCAUUUACUAGCGUCACUAGAUUUUGCAACGCCGGUGCACCCAUAGGUCCUUGUGAACCUAUUAUGGGAUGUUUAUUCCAAGUUAAUAAUUGCCCGAUUUGGGCAAUGUUCUCAUUGGAAGCUGUAAUAGCGGCCAAAAUAGCAUCAAGACGAGUAGUACUCCGAUGACUACUUUGGUCUAGAACUUGUAAGAUCCAAGUCAUCUGUCCAAGUGCCCAAGCCAAACUUGGUUCUUGUUGGUCUGAUUGAUCGCUUGUUUCACCUACCACCGGUAAGGCUACAUGACGCUCGUUCGCAUUCUCGGUGUUACUAGCUUGGUCGUUCCCGAAAUUUCAGGGAACGACCAGGUUGUAGAGGUUCAUAGCGUUAUCAUCAGCAUCGCUCGUAAUAAAUAAAAUGCAGAUUUACCUUAAUAUGUCCCACUGGGCGUGCCAAAAAUUGCUGCGGUCCGAAUCCUUCAACUGCUGACCCGGUCAAAGAUCCUCCUUCAUAGAGCGUGCAAGGAGAUGGAACGGCUACGAAUAAUGACCCUCGAAGUUUGCGCCCUUCGUAAGAUCAAACGAUUCAGUUCAUGAGGGAUCGGACCAACCAGGUUUGUCUCAAUACAAUAAAUCUGGUUCGGCUAAAGAGCCAAAUGUACGGACUGCACAAGGAUUUUUGGUUCGGCUGAAAAGCCUAGUGAGGCUUAUAUUGCUGAUAUUUGGAAAAACGUUUACAAGGCUGGACAAAAGAAAAAUCUACUCUACCAACUACUCCUAGAAAAUACUGUAGAUGCGGGAGAAUGAAAAGAUAAUUAGUACACUACUCCUAGAAAGGAAGAAAAUGCGUGGAAUUGAACGGUCACUUCCCUACUUUUGUGGGCCACUACAGGUCGAUCCCAACCGCAUGAAACCGUUUGCGGUUUGCUGUGAUUUGUCCUUUGUUCCCGGUGCACCAGAUACCCAACAUCCUUGGCUUUUGCAGCUCCUGGUUGUGUUGUGCACCGGUUCACCACGUGGCGCGAUUUUCUUAGCGUCAAUAGUAAUAAACCAAAAGUACUAUGAUGAUAAUUUUGUUAAUUUUUUGAUCUCAUCUCUCUGAUGGUUUCAAAGCAGCAGCAAAUGAAAAUGAUUAGAGCCUUGUGCAAGGUGAAAAUGGAUUAAACUGAAAAAAGGGUUUAACCAGAGGAUAAAAUGAAUUAGAUGUACAGUGUUCUCUUCUCCGUCGUCGCCUUUCAAAGUCUGCAAUUAUACACAAAUUACCUUGGUUUGUGGGUUUCUAUUCUUUUUAGUUACGGUUCCAUCCCUCGGCUCGCGACUUCAUAACUUCCAUUAGCGAUAUAUAUAUAUACUUUGUGCUUGUAAAUUUUUUACCCUUAGAUCUACGCCUUUGGUCAUUUUCAACCGUGAGAUUAUACUAUUCAACCAACCACCCACUCAACCCUAGGGGGCCCACAUCAUCCUAACCGCAAAAGGGGCCUUAGCUAAAAGAUUUCGGCUAGUGACUUUAAGCGGUAUAUAAAGUUUUUAAUGUGGCCCUACGGCGGCCUAGAGCUUUGAGUGGCUGAGCACGGUGCUCAGUGGGCGAUGGAGUUUUGUAUAGUAAAACCUACAGAACCGUUGUUUGUGUUCCAGUGCGUAGUUAUGCUAAUAGCAGCCUAUUAGCAAAGCUAGGCCCAAGGGAUUUCACAGCAGCCACCGUCCGUCCACGUCGGCUGCCCGCCUCCAGCGGCGAAUGCAAUCGGCCACUACCGGUUUCUCCCAGCCCAAGCCGCCAUUGUCUGGCGGUCUCCGGCUUCCUCUAUCUCCGCCGGCUCCCUCUUCCCUAGCCCAGUGGGAGAAGUGAGUCCGAGUUCCUUUCCACCUCUUUCUCCGCCUUUUUCUCUCCCUCUCCGUCCUACCUCGAAAAGGCUAUCGGCCUAGUCCACACGCGACCGCCGGCCCCACGCGCGCCGCUCCCAUCCCUUUCCUCCACUCCGCCGACCCCGGAGUCAAUUCCCACCGUUCCCCAUCCCAAAACGUAGGUAUUUUGGGAUUUCCAGUGAUACAUAUACACAUACAUAGAAACAUAUAUACAGAUAAAUAUAGAUAUAUAAAAAUAGACACAGAGAGAUAUAGAGAUAUAUAUAUACAUACAUACAUAGAAAUACAUAGAUAAAGAGAGAUAUAGACAUAUAGAUAUAUAUACAGAAAAACACAUAUAAAUAGAAAUAGAGAUAAAAACAGAGAAAGAUAUAGAUAUAAAGAUAUAUAUACACAUAGACAGACAUACAUAAACACAUACAUAUAUACAGACAUAAAGACAGAGAUAGAUAUAUAGAUAUAUAUAUAUAAAUACAAAGAGAAAUAUAUACAUAGAGAUAUAUAUAGAGAUAGAUAUAUAUAGAUAGAUAGAUAGACAUAUAGAGAUAUAUAUAGAUAUAUAUAUAUAUAUAUAUAUAUAUAUAUAUAUAUAUUAACUCGAGGAUACGAAAAUUUUCAUGGUUCAGUAAACACGAACAUUCAAAAAUCGGGAACCUAAUUAUCUACACGCUNUCGACGAUUCGAAAGUCGUAACAUCGAAAACGAGCUGGAAGCACGGAAGGCUCUGUGCUUCCGAUAGCAUAGUAGCCUCACUCUAUAGUAAAUUCUGAAAUUAAAAUUACAAAUUUUGAAACCCUUUGAUCAUUAGGCAAAUGAUGUCGAAAAGAUUUGAAAUUUGAUUUCUAAACACUUUAUGUGGUAUAGAUCAUGUUCAACGGAGCCGAUCGUCAAUUUGAAAGCUCUAUCAUCGAAAACAACUCGAUAGUAAAAUGCCCCGUUUACUAUCGAGUUGUUUUCGAUGAUAGAGCUUCCAAAUUGACGAUCGGCUCCGUUAAAUAUGAUCUAAACUAUUUAAACUACCUCGAAAUCAAAUUUCACGCACUUUCGAUAUUGUUCUUUUAUCCAUCUAGUGAACAGAAAAUGAAUGGUUGAAAAUGAAUAUUCUUUAAAAAAUGAUGAUAGGAGUCUUGUAAUCAAGAUCAAGAGUAUAGAUCUUGUUUUAAAUAGUUUAAAGAAUUUUCUAACAAAAAUUCAAUUGAUUUGGAUAUCUUUACACCGUUAAACGAGAAAACGUCUAUACACACCUUCAACGAGAAUGGGUUGACAUUUCGAUUAGUGCUAAAUUUAAUACGGUUGUGUUAAUUAGCAUGCAUAAUAUGACUUUUUUUGCAUGUUCAAAAUUGUAUUGUAUACUGUAAACUCCAUCCUUGAUAAAGGGAUUACACAUUUAAUUGUUGUUGUUGUCAUAAUGCUUAGUAUUCAAGCAAAAUAUUAAACCAAAUUUUAUUGUACUGAUGGAAAGGAUCAACUACAUAAUUCGUAAUUAAGAGCCAUUACAGAUUAAUAUCAAAUAACUAAUUAAAUUUAAAAUUGCCAAUUGAUUACUUAAAUUCAAAAUGAGAAAAACGUAGUAGAUUACAAAUAUAAGUUUUUCUCAAAUUCAACUGCACAUUCAAUCGAGCUUAGUUGGCUAAGUUUGAUUUAAUUUCGUGAAUCCAACUUAUGGAUUCGAAAAGCAAAAUCUUUAGGCUGGUUUUGUAUUGGACCAGUAUAUAAUUAGCAAAGUCCUAAAUUUCAAUGUUUCAAAUUCAAAUGCCUAUUAUGAGUAAGGCAAAGUUAGAUUAGUAAAAAUUUGGGUAAAUUGCACAUUUGCUUCUCACACUGUGUCAGAUAACACUUUGGUUAUUAAACUUUAAUUUAUUAUAACUUUUAACUCGAACUUUUAUAAUUGUUCUAAUCAAGUCUCACAACUUAAUUUAUUUCAUUAUUCUUUUCCAGUGCUGCAGUAGUAAUUCAUAAAAAAGCCUAUCCUCCUAUUGAAACCUAUUCUCCUACCCUCUCUUCCCCUUUCCCCCUACUUCCCUAUUCCUUCGCUCCCAACACCUUCCACAUCCUUUCCUACUCCCUAUUUCUACAUCCGGGCUAUAAGAGAUGAUCUAUGACCUAUUCAAGGAGUUUAGCCGGUUACUCGCUACUCCAACAUCCUCUAUUGUGCACCUCAGACUAGAAGUUAUAACAUCCGAUGAUAUUAUUUCAAGCACUGCUUCAUGGCGAAGAUUCAGGCAGAGCUAUUCGAGGUGUGCUGAGACACACGUGGACUUUUAUAGAGCUGUUCGAGGUUAAUAAGGCUAAAAAUAGAUCUCGUUAUGAAGCUUCAAAUCAGAGGAGGACCUCCUUGCGGUUUGGUAUGCCUCACCUUGGUGGCUGGUGCUACAAUGCAACCUCAAUUGUUCUAGCUAGAAUGCUUUCGACAGCACACGCCGGCGAAAAACUAUAAACUCCACUAUCCACCACUUUUGGGUUCAGUUCCACCACCUCCCGCCAAACCUCUUGACCCUAGCCACUGCCUCAAAAUUGGCUGACGGGUUAGGAGAGGUCAUUUCGACUAGCGCUUCCCGCGCGCUUCAUUCAUUGUACCUCUAUUCCAGACUGCUUUUGGACUUACACCUUCCUCUGCAGAAAAGUAUGAUGAUUCUUCUUGGAGGUGGGGAGGUCCUAAACAUUCACUUGGCAUAUGAACGUCUACUGAGAAUCUGUACUUUCUGGGGUCUCAUAGGACACGAUAUUAAUCACUGCAAGCAUAGAAUCUCAUUGCUAGAUCACAUCCCCGCAACCAUCUCUCUAGCUAACAAAGCACAACUUGAAGACCUUCUGAAACUGAAGUUCCCCGGAUCCUUAUCUGCAUCUGCCUUAUAUUCUUGUUUGGUUGUGCUUCAAAACCCCUACCGACCGUAGGAGAGCCUGGCGAAGGGCAAAUCCGUUAUUCCUAGGGUACAUAACCUCCCUGCAACUAUUGUGGACGGAAUUUCGAAAGGCCCACAUAAGAAAUUUUCGAAUCAUCUUCCAUAUUUGCAUAAAGAUUCUUUACCCACUGUUGAUCCAUAGACCGUCCACAUAAUAUCGAUGCAAUAGAUAAUUUUUUCAAAAAUCCUCAUUAUGGAGAGUCGGGUAUGGAAAUAUCCACUCACUUGAUGGUCAAUCGUUGGGCCGAAUAUUCGAGAUCACCUAACCAUAAAACACAAUUCGUGGCAAAUGAGAUCGAGUUCUUGCAGGGCCGCUCUGUGCAAGGUUCCAGCCAGAACAUUGGGUCUGGUCCCUGACUUGACCACCUGGGGCAAUCCUCUAAUCUUAAACUCUAAUUCUGACGCAAUAGUUCCUUGGAAGCCCAACACCCCACAUGUGCAGCUGAUCCACAAUACAGAGGAGAGUUUGCCUUUGCUCUUCAAUAUCCCAAUCAUUAUGGCCGACUCAUUGGACAAGAACAUUUGGUCUCAUUUCCACACUUGAAGCAACUAUCCGAGUAUUCCUCACACUCCUCAAGUUAUCCAGAACUCCAUUCAUAUAAAAAAGAAGGUUGUGAAAUCAAAAGUUGCAAGACAGCAACUGCAUCAAAUUUUAGCCGAGCAACUCUUGACGGCGCAUCGAUUCGCACUGUGACUUAACAAAUGAGAACCAUAGCUUGGAACUAUCGUGGUUUGGGCAGCUUCCUUACAGUUCGAUAUCUGGCCUCCUUAAUGGCGGCUACUUUACCCAAGUUCGUAUUUAUUUCUAAAACUAAGUGCAACCUGGAGUGCUACAACUCAUUACUCUCAGUCUCCAAAAUCCAUCACUAUUUCAUCUUUCCUAUAUAGAAGUGUGCUGGGGGCCUUGCUCUUGUGUGGCCAGAUGACAUCAAAGCUACAAUAUUUGCAUCUUUGAACUUCUUCAUUACAACAUCUACUUCUUGUGCGAGCCUAUAUCUUUUUGUUGGCGUAUAUAUCCACCCGGAUCUCAUCAGCAACAACCAUACAUUUGGAAAAACUAGGAGGGACAAGUCGCCUAUUCUUUACCUCUAUUCCACUCAGGAGCUUCCAGCAGAAUGGUUGCUUCAUCGACAUUCCUUUCAGCGGGCAUGAGUAUACUUGGUCUAACAAUCAGUUUGGAUACUCCUCUAUGUUCAAAAGACUUGACCGAACUCUUGCUGAUUCUCAGUGGCUUCUGAAGUUUCCCUUUGCCAAACUCCUUCACCUCCCUCGGGUAUUUAGGGAUCACUGCCCUCUCCUCCUCACUACCCAGCACAGUCGAUGCCUCUUCGAAAUUGAAAGAUGGUGGUUCACUCUGGAUAGGUUCAAAGAAAAAGUACGUGAAGUAUGGAAUGCCAACGCAACUAAAACCUUUUCGAGGCGUCUUUUUCACAUGGCUUUCUCCUAUAGGAAUUGGGCCUCAAGAUAUAGGUAUAACAUUCGAUAUAGGAUAGCGAAAAGAACAAGCAAGUCUUCUUUGGUGGCACAAUACAAAUACCUCUUUUCAAGCAGGAAUUAUUUUGGGCUCAAAGAGCGAAAGAAGGGUGGGUUCUGAAUGAAGACAGCAACACCACUUUCUUUCAUAUCAGGGUGACAAUCCGAAAAAAAAAGAAUACUAUCCUUGCUCUUCGAAGUCCCUCUGGAAUGAUUCUGUCAGACAAGUUGGAACUUAAAUCCUUCGUCGACCAGUAUUUCACUACUUUUUAUACUACUCCUCACAUGUAGGAAAUUGAUAAUUUAAAUCUAAAAAUGAAUAUUUGGAAAUCAAAUUUUAAAUAUUAAUCUAAAUUCUUGAAUUUAAAUCGGGAAUUGGAAAGAAGACAGUAUUUUUGGCAAAUCGAAAUAAUUUUCGACGAAAUAAAAUCACCACUUUAAUGGUCUGACAGUGCCAGAAGUUGUAGUGAAGUCCAUUUUCGUGUUAUGCGAGGCUAAAGUGUUGUAUUAGUGAAAUUGAAAAUUGGCCAAAUAUAGAAAAUUUUACUUUUGUGAGAAAAUGGCGACUUUUCAUUUGUCGAAUUGCAUGAAAAUUUACAGGAUGGUGCUACUGUACGAAAUACAUGCACUGGUAAAUUUUUGGUAAGAAACUUAGAGUCUGAAGGGUUAAAUUACAAUUUUAGCAAUUUGUGAAAAUGUAGCACUCCCCGAUGAGACUAUCAUUUCAUGAGAGAAACCUCGGAGCUUUGGUGAGCGGAUGGUCUCGAAUAAAAGGUAGCUACGAGAGGGACGCAUUGACAAUUUAGCAAGACUUUUAAUUUUUUGUGCGAAAUGGCACUGUCACACCCCGAGGUUCUUUUGAAAAAUUAUUUUUAGAAAAGUUAGCGAAAAAUGUGUAAAUUUUUUUUUGAACACCUUCGAGAACACCCCGCGGACGCACACAGACCCGCCACAUGGACAAGGGAUCCCCAGUAUAGACGGACAGAGUCUCCCUUAUACAUGCACAGUGUAGCAACUCACAAUAUAGUCAACAACACAUACAACCACACAUACAACCACACAACACAAAUAACAUAAUGAUCAUAUGAAACUAUGAUUCACAUACAUCAGUUAUUUUUAAACAUUACUAAGUAAUGAACUAAACUAAUCCAACUGAAUAAUAAUACAUGUCAACAACAGGAGGAUCUAGAAUGCAGCUAUCUACUAUCGUCCUCAUGCACCGUCCCAACCCUCACCGUCUGCAUCACCUGAAAAAUGGUAGGGUGAGAACAUGUAACAUGUCUCUCAUCCCAGUAGGUACCGCAAGCCUACGAAGGCGAGUUGUACUCCCCGACAAACAAAGAGAUAACCAAAGCAAUGAACAAAUAUUGUACGGUCAGUAGCAACGUGAUAAUAAAAGACAAUAAAUGCGAAAAUAUCGCUACUAAACAGAAAACAACAACUAGGUAUAAUCAACAGGUAUACUGGAAUCGUAGCAAUAGUGGCUAGAAAAGAACUACAACUUCCAAUCAGUAUAUAACUAUCUACUACUGUAACUAACCAUAGAACAUACAAAUGCAUCAAUUGGGUAAAUGAAACCAACAAUCAAACCACUGCCGUAUUGGUCGAAAGACCUUAGGCUAAACCACAAUCUGCUCUCCCACCUUGCAUAUAACCCUAACAGGCACCUUGUAGGACUCACGAGUCGGACGUAUGAUCACUUUUUCAGAAAAGAAUACCCUCUUGCGGUGGAUCAGACCACUAGUGUACAUGAAAAUGCUUACAAGCUAUGGCAAUCGAUGCAAUAUGCUCAAUGGCCCACAACGGCAAUUAGCCGAAAGAGUAAUCCACAAAUGUCUAACUGAAUCAGGUCCACUGUUCCGGAAAAAAAUGUCACCGUGUCACUAACCUAUAAGGUCUAUAUAACCAAAUCACCAUGUCAUUGACCUAUAAGGUCUAUAUAACCAAAUCACCAUAUGGCUGACCUAUAAGGUCUAUAUACCCAAGUCAUGCAAUAAAUCACUAGAGAUGUCACCGACCACAAGGUUAACAAAUGUUAUAUUAUGUUAUGCACGAAUACGAGUGUCAUCGACCACAAGGUUAAUUAAUAUCAUAUCAUCUACUAUAAUCAUGCCAAAACAGAAGUUUCACCGACUACAAGGUCAACUAAUGUUAAAACAUACAAUGUAGAUGACUACGGGUGUCAUCGACUAUAAAGUCAACUAAUGUCAAAUCUAUUACGAGUGUCAUUUACUAUAAAGUCAACUAAUGUCAAGGUCAUCUACUAUAAACAUACCAUGGGUGAUCAAUCAUUAAAAACACCGCUCUACUACUAGAUCAUGACCAUAUAAAAUAGAAGAAAGUAUAGAGCGACUAACUACGAAGUCAAGUGGUUUACGAAAGCUCAAGCAACAUCAAAUAAAUGGAAAGAGAUAAUAAGGAUAGAAAUCACCAAGUAGGCACUACUUUACCGACUUUGGAUCGAAGUACCCACCUCUACUGAAGAAUAAAAUCGGGUCAUCGACACCUGUCGAUGUCUCCCGUCACAGUCCGGACCUAUACAAAGUCCCCCAAAAUAAAAAAGUAAUUAGCUCAAACUCGCUAAUUACAAAAACUAUGGUUUCAAGUGAAACAGAUAGGAGAGCACUCGGGUUUCCGGAUCCUGUUCCAUGGUUGUCGAAAGAUCACUCGAUCGUCGCACCGACUCAUUGGGAUGUCACCCCAACCCACGAGGCAUUCCUGAACAAGUCCCAAACAAACUCUAUCUCGUUCACUGUCCCAAUACAUCAAUUUAAUGCCAUUAGGGCAGUCGUACAAAUAGAGCAUCAAAACAGAAAUCUGAGAUCCCAAGAAUCACCGGUUUGGUUACCGGGGUGCCCCUUUCGACACCGGAGCCACCCACAGCCAUCAUGUUGUGACCAGAGGUGUCACACCCUCGCCCCAAUACCAGCCAAUAAGGCUACCACACCAUUGCAAAUAGCAGCAACCAGUGCAAUACGAAACCAUUCCCGAAAUCGCUUGAUUUUCGUAUUUCGGGGUUCCUUUAAGCCCCGAAGUGUUCCGAGAUACUUCGAAAGUCAAACGAUCAUCCCCAACUAUCCCAAAACACUCAAUUGUGGGUGUCAGGAUAGCCACAUGCCAAGUGGUGCAAUCUAAAAGCAAAAUUCCCAAAAUUCACCGUGCCGGGUUCCCAAAAAUUGCCAUUUUUGGUUUCGGAACCCACCUAGGGCUUAUUGCUGGUCUGAGCUUUGCACCAACAAAGUCCCAGCCAGUCAAUGAGGCUAGGUGAUAAUUUUUGGCGCAGCCACAUAGCUGAAAACUCAUUGCAACGCGAAACAGUGUUCGACCAACGAUUUCACCUAAAAACUUGCCGAAACCCCUUUUUGAUUACACGAGCAGCUCGAGAACUUGGACGAUCAGUCCAAAGGGUCACACAUAGUGACCACACACUACUCAUGGCAGCCCACACAACUACUUACAAGACUAAACCCCUAAACAUUCUGAUAUUUGCACAAUAUAUGUAUAUAAGGAGAGUGUUUAGGGCCGAUACCGAAAAUCGAGCGUUUCCAGGACGAUGCGAGAGCACCAACGAAUAAGUCUCAAUGCACCAAACUCACUCUCCGAAGUGCAAACGAUAGUUGAGGAGCACAUCGAGGCUUCUCCAAAUUCAGUGUAGAAAGGGCUCUAGGAGCGGGGGAGCCAAAUCACUAUGAUAGAGGGUCGUCAGCAGGAUCCGAGGUGAGCACGGUGAUCAGCGAGGGCCAAGGAUCACUGUGCUCACCUUCCAGAAGUUUGGGGAGCAUCGGAUGGCUGGAAAAGACAAAUAGGGCCAAAAAGUGCCGUAGCUCAAAGUGUAGGGAGCAAUUCGGCUUCGGUUGGCUGCCAGCAGCUUACAGGCAUGUGCUAUCACGCCCCGAGCCCGCCUUUUUGGUCGGUUUGGGCACGUCGAACAGACGCCGAAUGGACAACACCUCCCCUUUCCGAAUGGACAAAUCAAGUAAAUAGAUUGCACAAGCGGAAACAUAAGCAUACAUGGCUUGCACGAGGGCAAGCAAUAGCCAAAAGUGAAAGAUUCUAAACUAAACAUCCAUACAAGUAAUCUGAUUAACUUUUAACCAUAUACAUGCAUUCAACUCAGCUUUUACAUUCACAAUUACAUUCUUUUCAUUCAUUUUUUUAUACAUUUUGCAUCUUCAAGUACAAAAGAAGAUAUAGAGGGUAUGCAACUAAGCAAAUAUGAGACCAACUCGGGUGGUCAUUGUCUAUGGCGCGAUAACUUUACCGCGAUCGUCCGUCGGCUCACUCGGUCCCGGCUCUGUGAAAAAUAGUGGGGUGAGAACUACAACAAAGCUCCCAGUAGGUUCGGCCUCCGACCUCGCCAACUUUCCCACUAGGUCUAAAUCAGGCAUAAUAGAAGAAUAAACGGAUAGAUAGUAACCAAAUUAUACAAAUGCAGCUAAUAUGCCUAAACAAGAUAUACAAUAAGGAUGCUCAAAAAGAAUGCUCAUGAUGCAUGCAAGAUCUCAAUCCCAAUACUCAAUCUCUUGGCUAACCCGUAGGUUUUGCCCAAAGCAACUCACCAACUAAAUCCCUAAUAUCGAGAAGACUCCUACAACCCGACGGAACCGUCCUCUGGGAAAAACACCAACCCAGUGAUGACUACUCCGGAGCUCAUCGUUCGAGGUGGAGCUACCACCCUCAAGCCAAGACUUAUAGGCGAGUAUGAUCCAAUCCUUAACUAUAAGGAUGCCAAGUUCAAUCCAAUCCUUAACUCUAAGGAUGCAAUGCUCAAUCCAUUCCCUAACUAUAAGGAUGCCUCAACUAUGAGGAUGCUAUGCUCACAUAUGCCAUAUUGUCAAAUAUCUCAUUUUCUUGCAUUCUUUAGCUCUCAUUAGUGCCACAUACACACCGGGUACUCCUCAUAUAACAUAUUCCCGCGCAACUCUGCCGGCUCAUAUUCUAGCACAUAAGAUGAAUUGCGGAUAUACUUGCGGAGAUUCGACACAUGAAACACGUUGUGAACUCCCGCAAAUCUCGGCGGCAAUGCAAUCUUGCACGCCACCGCGCCAAUGCGCUCCAAUAUCUCAAACGGUCCAACAUACCGGGGACUUAGCUUCCCGCGGACCCCAAAUCUCUUUACACCUCACAUAGGUGACACUCAAGAACAAACACGCGGUCUCCAACAGCGAACUUUAAAUCCUUUCUACGCUUGUUGGCAUAGCUUUGUUGCCUUGAUUGAGCCAUCGCAAGUCGCUGGUAAGCAAGACGAACUUUCUUUUCCGCCUCUCGCAACACAUCGAGGCCAAGAGUAACUCUCACCCACCUCGCUCCAAUGGAUAGGAGAACGACACUUCUUUCCAUACAGAGCUUCAAAUGGUGCCAUCGUGUACGCGUCUCCGCCACCGGCAAAUAGUCGUGCCAUCCACUAUUAUAAUCAAGUACACACGCCCGAAGCAUAUCCUCAAAUAUUUGUAUUAUUCUUUCCGAUUGACCAGCACUUUGAGGAUGAAAUACUGUAUUAAAGUCGAGCCAUGUACCUAGAGUGUCUUGCAAACUCUUCCAAAAGUGAGAUGUGAACCUAGGGUCUUGAUCCGAUAUAAUAGACACCGGAACCCCAUGCAAUCUCACAAUGUCAUCGAGAUACACGUGAGCUAAUUUAUCUCCGGACCGCGUGGUAUGGAUCGGCAAGAAAUAAGCCUACUUCGUCAAUCUAUCCACAACCACCCAAAUCGCAUCAUGUCCGGUUUGAGAUCAAGGCAAACCGGUAACAAAAUCCAUUACGAUGUCUUCCCACUUCCAAACGGGUAUUGAUAGACUUUGCAACUUUUUCGCUAGAAACCGGCGCUCCGCUUUUACUUGUUGGCACGUAAGACAUUGCGCCACGAACUCCUCAAUAUCUCUCUUUAUGCCCGGCCACCAAUAAUGCACUUUCAAGUCUUGGUACAUCUUAGUGCCGCCCGGGUGUAUGCUAUAGGGAGAUUGAUGCGCUUCUUGCAUAAGCGUCUUUCGAAUAUCCUCAUUUUUAGGCCCACACCAACGAUUUCGGAAUCGAAAUGCGCCAUCGGUCCCAAUGCCGAAAUCAUCGGCACUACCAUUUUCAACUUUACCCCGCACCUUUUGGAGAUACGGAUCGGAAGCUUGUUGCUCUUUAAUCCUCUCCAACAAGGUUGGAUGAACAACCAAUGCGGCAAGACUAGCCGGCACUCCCAAAGCUACUACCUCAAGACCAAACCGUUGCAUCUCCUUUUGCAAUGACGAUUGGAGUGUAAUUGCCGUAGCCAAGUUUUCCACCGAUUUUCUACUCAUUGCAUCGGCCACGACAUUUGCUUUCCCGGGGUGGUAUAGAAUAGUGACGUCGUAGUCCUUUAGCAAUUCUAACCACCGCCGCUGUCACAUAUUCAACUCCUUUUGGGUGAACAAAUAUUUGAGACUCUUGUGAUCCGUGUAAAUCUCAUAUUGCUCACCAUACAAGUAAUGCCUCCACAACUUUAGCGUGAAUAUUAUUGCAGCUAGCUCAAGGUCAUAUAUCGGGUAGUUCUUCUCAUAAUUCUUCAGUUGGCGCGAAGCAUAAGCUAUGACUCGGCCAUUUUGCAUCAAAACACACCCGAGACCACUGUAUGAAGCAUCACUGUAUAUUACAAAGCUCUCCCCCGGAGUGGGUAAAGCAAGCACCGGGGUCGAUGUCAAUCUUUUCUUUAACUCUUUUGUGCGUGAGGCACGUUAGUGAAGUAGUUAUCUUAGCGAACCCCUCCACGAACCGCCGAUAGUAUCCCGCAAGUCCAAGAAAACUACGGACCUCCGCAACACUUGUCGGGUGAGGCCAAUCCUUAAUUGCCUCCAUUUUCUUCGGAUCUACUGAGACGCCGCUCCUGGUUAUUACAUGGCCUAAGAAGUAACCUCCGAAAGCCGAAAAUCACACUUCUUCAAUUUAGCGUAAAGCUUCUCUUUUCGGAGUAUUUGCAACACGGUUCUCAAAUGUUCCUCGUGUUCCUCCUCGCUCCGUAAAUAAACCAACACGUCGUCAAUGAACACCACAACGCACCGGUCCAACAACGGUCGAAAGACUCGAUUCAUCAAGUCCAUAAACGCUGCCAGGGCAUUAGUAAGCCCAAAUGGCAUCACUGUGAACUUAUAGUGGCCAUACAGCGUACGAUACGUCGUUUUGUGCACAUCCUUUGGCCUGAUCUUCAACUGGUGAUACCCCGACUGAAGAUCAAUCUUCGAGUAUACUCGCGACCCUUGCAACUGAUCGAACAAAUCAUCAAUCCUUGGUAACGGGUACUUGUUCUUGACUGUCACUUUGUUCAACUCGCGAUAGUCCACGUAGAGUCGAAGCGUUCAAUCCUUUUUCUUUACAAAUAGCACCGGAGCUCCCUAUGGUGACACGCUUGGCCUCACAAAGCCUUUAUCAAGCAAGUCUUGCAAUUGAGCUUUCAACUCUACUAGUUCCACCGGUGCCAUUCUAUACGGGGUCUUCGAAAUUGGCGCCGCCCCAGGAAUCAAGUCAAUGACGAACUCAAUCUCUCGGUCCGGUGGCAAUCCCGGUAACUUCGCCAGAAAUACUGUAACACACUAGACUUUUGCAAAUUGCAAGGUUCGAGUGUUUGGGUUUGGUGUUCCGAGCUUUUCCCACACUUGGUGGAGGGUCAUAGAUUGUAUUCCGACCAAAAAGUUCGAAAUCUGAAUUUCUGGACAAGUCCUGAGAUUUUUACUCUCAGGGACCGGUCUUUGGUGGGAGAGACCGGUCCCCCACGGCGAGGCAACCUGUCCCCGGCUGGGGAGACCGGUUCCCGAGAGCUGGUUUUGCGGGAGGGUCCCGAGGGACCGGUCCCAGCUGGGAGAGACCGGUCCCUCUGGGCGAAAACUGCCCAGUCCGGGCUGUUGCAUAGGUUGCAAGUAGAGGGACUUUUCUAGAUUUUGUUACAAUAGAGAGUCUAUAUGGCCACUCCACCUUCUCCCUCCCUCAUUUCUCUUCUCUCAACUCUCCCUACACCUUAGAUAGAGAAGGAGAAGAAGAAAGAGAAGGAGAAGAAGGAAGGAAGGAGAAGAAGAAGACCAACAAGAGAACUUGGAGCAUCUUUCUCUCCCUCUCUUCUUUCCUUGGGUGCUUGAAGGCUUGGACUUGGAGCUUGCUAAAGAGGAGAUCUUCACUCUUGGAGCUUGGAUUUGAGCUUCUCAAGAGGUUAGUUGCUUGUUCCUCCCCUCUAGACCUAGUUUUGGUGGAUUUUGGGAGAUGAAACCCUAGAUUUGAAUUUUAGGAUUUAUUUUGGGGCUUUUUGUUUGGAAGCUUUUGGGGCUAAUCUAAUGGGAUUAGAACCUUGGUUUAGGUUGCUUUGGAAGGGAUUUGACUUCUAUUUGAGCUUUGAAGAGGGAUUUCUUCACUAUAGAUGAGAUUUUUGCCCUUUUGUCUAGUUGGUUAAUGUUUGAGCUAGUAGUUGUUCAUUUAUUUCUUGUAGCUCACUUUUUGAUGCUUUUAGGGUGCUAGGAGCUUAGUGGACAUCUUCGUUGGAGCAAACGAAGGGUUACGCGUUGUUCGGUGGGUUUGACCUAGCCUACAAUAUGAGAAAUGCCCAUAUUUGGUGAUUUAUGAUUCGUAAAGUAGAAAUUCAUGCAUUUUCAUGCUAAAUGUAUUUAUUGUGAAUUUUAGAAUGCUUAACAUCCCUAUGUCAUGUAUAAUGAAUUUCGGACCUCUAUGUAGUAGAGAGUUGCAUGUGAGGCUUAUACUAGCAUUUGGCAUUCUUAUGUUGGACUUGGGACCAUGUUUCUUACAAUGAAAAUGAGCAUUGUUUAGUGCACUUAAACCUAUGCAUGUUAGAGACAUGAGAGAUAGCUAAUGCCAUAAAGAGGCAUCGGACUAGACUAUUAUGGGAAAAUUUGGAGCUAAUGUCAUAAAGCGGUAUUGAGCUCGGGUUAUGUGUGAACCUAGUACUGGUAUCAUGAAGGGACAUAGAAUGUGGAUUGUACUUGGGUUAUCAUAAUGCUUAAGGGUCAUAAAGAGGCACUAAGCAAGGUGAGUGUUGGGACAUCACUUUGAGACAUAGAACUAGACCGUUGGGUUACUAGUGACUAUUACCAUGUUAGAGACAUGAUGACUGGUUACUUGAGACGAUGACUUACUUGCUUGCCAUUUGUGCUCAUUCGCACAUGCUUGUGAGGGUCGCGCCCUACAAGCCGGCACUCCGGAGUUGGCCUACACGACUUAUGCUCGCCCGUGCGGUAUAGAGAAGCCUACUGGGUCGGGAGGGAUAGACUCAUUUCCAGAGUGAAAAUGCUGGAGCUACCACCGACACUUAGGCGGCGCAAGCCGGACUAUACUCAUGUAGGUCCUAAAACAAGAUUGAGCUUGGACAUAAACUCUUAAACAUGAAUCACUACUAGAUAAAUCAUAGUAGCUGGAUCACUUGGCAUAUUUAUAGUGUGGCUUUGAGAUUUUGGGACAUGUAGUAUACUUGAUAGAAUUGCUUUGCAUCCUAGUAUACUUGGCAGUUAUAAUGAACAUAUUCCCCUUGUAUUGGCAUAUUCAAUCAUGAUAGCAUUGAUACACAUCAUGUUUACAUAUGGCAUAGUAGUAUUGCAUUUCAUACAUGCUUUCAAUUCAGCAGCUUAUUAUUGUCUAAUACUAUCGUUACUUACCCCUUUUCUUUUGGCCUAGUGGUGCAUUGUGCUGAGGUCAGUAAUUGCCCACUGGGAAUUAUAAAUUAUAGUUCUCACGCCCUCUGUUUCUUGUUUUUAUUUCAGAGCCUUCCACUCCAGGUGAGGCUAGGGAUCGAGGAAAGGGAAUCGCCACGAGCUAGCUAGUGAGCGAGGGACGUUCGAUAGGUAGUCCACCUCUUCUUUGUUUCCUUUUUGGGAGAGGAUGAGAGUUGUACCUUGUAUAGAGACCACCCUUUUUGUAGUACUUUUGUGAUAACUCUUGUACUUACUUUAUCUUUAUGUUUAGUAGUUUACUUUUCCCUUUCUCUACUUGUUGUUAGUUGUUAGCUGUUAGUACCUCUGAUAUCUCUAGUGACUUUAUUUCUUCUUACUUCUAUAUCUCUUUUGUUGUAGACGCCUUAUAUGUGCAGGCAUAUGGCGGGUCUGGGCACGCAUCGGGCGGGCCUAUGUCGAGUCCCGGGGCAUGACAAAUAUGUCCGAAAAUUCACACGCUACCCGAAUAUUCCUAAGUUCCGGGUGCUCCCUUUGAGUCUCUACCAUCGUCGCCAAAUAGGCCACACAUCCACCUUUAAUCAUCUUUCUCGCCCUCGCCGUCGAUACGGUCGCCGCGAAGCGCAAGUUUUUACAUGCACGAUAUAUCAAGUCCUCUUGGUUAGGCUCAUGAAAAGUGAUCACCUUGCUUUCAUAGUCGAUAACCGCAUAGUACUUGGAGAGCCAAUCGAUCCCCAAGAUUACAUCGAAGCCCCACAUCUAGUUUAGCACUAGCAAGUCUGCCGACAUAAUCCAAUCACCUAUCUGAACUGGACAAGCCGUGCACUCCUCGUGAACACUAAAUGAAUGCUCUGGUGCAUUAACCCACCAAUACUCCUGUAACAUAUCGCAUCCCCGUGAGUCGUGCCGAGUUCCGUUGAAACGUGCGGAGCGCUGUGUCAGACGAGUCGGAACGGUUCGCAAAGUGUUUUAAACGCUUUGGAAAGUGUUGCAUAGGGGUUAGAGGACCCAGGAGAGCUAGCUGGGAAGUUUUCAGCCAAAUGCUGAAAAAUUGUGCUCUUAGGGCCUGGACCUUGUUCAGGGUCCGGACCCUGUACGCGAAAUCAGCCAAGUGUGGGCUGCUGUGUAUUGGUGAAAUGAGAAGGGCUUUUGUGCAAUUGUGUAAGUGUGAGUGUGUAUAUGUUUGAGAAAUGAGAUUUCCUUCUCAUUUCUCUCAACCCCAACACACCCAGGGCUCCCUCUCUCUCUCUAAAACCCUCUCCUCUCUCUUUCUCUUUCUCUAGAGCUUGAGCAAGGGAGGCACUUGGAGGGAUCUUGGUGGAGAAGAAGAGCAAGUGAAGGGUGUUGCUUGCUAUUGUGCAAGAGCUUGGAGGAAAGCUUGAACCAAAGGUGAGUUUCCAUGGUUUUAAGCUAGGGUUUGGUUGUUCCUUCUAGUUUAUGCUUCUAGGAGGUGUAAUGGUGGUUUAGCUCCAUCUUCUCUAUGUGUUAGGGGUGUAUUUGGAGAAGAUGACUUUAUAGAGGGUUAUAUUGGGAUUUAUGUUAGGGUAUGGUUCAAAUGAGGUCCAAGCUUGGGAUUGAUCUCUUAUUACCCUAAUUGUUAGGUAAACGAACGUGUUGGCGAACUCGGUUCGGCGAUCCGACGAGUGUACGCGGAGAAAUCGAGGAAAAAGCUUGUUUCAGCUUCAUUUUGCCGUAGCACGCGGCGUAGGCUUCCAAAAAUCACAAGAAUUGAACUGUAGCAUCUUAGCAUUCCUACAAGGUGGGGGGUGCUAUCCGGAAUCUUCGAGUUUCCUUCUAUGUCUGUGUUACCUUUAUUUAAGCAUAUAUGUGAAUAGUGGCAUUCAUGCAUAAUAGGGUAAAGCGACAUGUGGUUAUUGGUUGAGAUUCAAUUAUAUGCUUCUAACGUAGAUGAACAUAGUAAUUGGUAUGGAACCAUGUGAGACAUAUAUGUUGGAACCCUAUACUUGUGUGAAUGUGUGAUAUGGACUAUGACAAUAGUAAACAAAGGUGACAUUGACAUUGGCGACGAGAUUGGCACCAAGAAUGUGAAAUACUAGACAAGGUUAAACCUAUUGAGGCAUUAUGGCAAGUGUGGCCUAGAGAAUUGAGUAUAUAACAAGGUAGAAACCUGUUAUGACAUUAUGCAAUUGUGGCUUGUGGCAAACUAGCAAAUGUGGCUAUACGUCCUCAAAUCGGGGAUUGGAUCGAUACUCACUUGAGUCUUAGCUUGAGGGAGGUAGCUCCCCCUCGAGCGGUGCACUCUGGAGUUGGUCACCACUGGGCGAGGUAAAGUCCCCCCAGAAGACGGUCCCUGGGCGUGGUAAAGUCCCCCCGAAUGAUAGAGAUUUUGGGUUCUGAGUUUGGGGUUAACGAGUGUUAACCGGUAUGAUUGGGUAAAAGCCAAAGAGAAAGAAAGCAUGCAUGCAUUUAUCAUACAUAUGACUAUCUAUCUGUUGAUCUGUUUUCUUGCAGGCAUAGUAAUAGCAUUAGUGUGGUUUGCUAUUUCCUUUCCUUUCCUCACACUACUAACCCUGCAGAUCCGAGCGUGAGCGGGGCGGCGGAGGAUCGGGGCAAGGGUUUAGCGCUGUAGCUAGCGGCCACCCGAGUUAUAGUCAUUCCAUGUAUAUAGUUCAACUUUUGUAUGUUGAAAAGAAAUGAUGUAUAGAGAUGUAAUCCAUGUAUUUUGGUUGGAUGACUAUGUGAUGUAUAAUGAUGUAUGAAAAAGAAAAGAAUGAAUGUAAUAGAGCUAGUUUACUUGUAUUUGGUUAAAAAGUAAUCAAAUAUUAUGUAUGUGGUUGUUUGUAGUAGCUUAGAGCUUUCACUACUUGUUAUUGCUUGCCCUCGAGCAAGCCUUGUAUAAUUGCAAUCUCAUUGCUUGAAUUGCUUGAUUAUACUUAUUGUUGGAGCCUUGGGCGGACAGGGGAGGUGUUGUCCGUUCGGUGUCUGUUGACGUGCCCGAAUCCGACCAAAUAGGCAGAGCUCGAGGUGUGACAAAUUCGGGCUAUACAACACCUCAAUGCCAUGAGUUUUAGCAAACGAGGCACCAAUGAAUGAAUGAGAUGCACCUGUGUCGAAUAAAGCUCUAGCUUUAGUGCCAUUAAUUAAAACAAUACGUGCCGCUACAUCAUCUGGAACAGCAGGCUCCUCUACCUGAGUGGCGAAAACCCGUCCACUCGGUGCUCGAGAUCCCUCCGGCUGACGCGAUGCUGAUGAGCAUCUAGCCGACAUAGCAGGUGGCAAACCCGCAAGUUGCCUCGAGGUAGAAGGAACUGAUGCCGCCGUCGGAGCAGACGACGUCCAAUUCGGGCACUCCCGAAUAACAUGUCCUGGUUGGCCGCACUUGAAGCACUUUCCCUCGUGUAAGAUAUGGAUCCUAAAGAUCUAAAAGGUAAAUAACACCUAGAGGAGGAUGAAUAGGUGUAAACGGCAAAAUCAAAACUCCCGAUGCGAAUUUAAAGUAAGAGCGGAAAUUAAAAACAACACACCGAAAUUUAAUGUGGGAAAACUCCAAUUUGGAGAAAAACCGACAGGACCGAUCACGCGAAAAAUCUACUAUAGAAACAAUUGAGUACAAGUGAUUUACUGAAAAUACAUGACUCAAUUUACUGAAUCCUCGAUGUAGAUUAUCUUCGCCGGUCCUCGAUCGAUCGAACUCCUUCAACCGAUCACGUUGCAAGCCCUCGCAGCAAACAUGCCUCGAAUCCACGAAGCGCCCACCGAAUCCACGACCUUCACGCGAAGUCCACGCGCCAAUCCUCCAUCCGGAGCUCGUAGAGAAGAUAAUUUGUGGUAAUUGAAACUUAGAAAACUAUAAGCUAUGAAGAAUUCCCUUUUAGUCAAUCAUCAACUUGAUUCUCAAAGGAACAUUCAAAUUAUAAACCUAAGAAUCAAGUCAUCGAUCAACAAUUCAAAACUUGCUUUAAGAAUAGAAUCAUAAAGCUCAAAAAUAAGUUUCUAGGGUUUCAUAAAGGUCUAAACUCUCAGCAUUCGUCAUAAUGUAACCCCCGUAGCUUAUUUAUAGAUUUAUAAAACUUAGAAGUAGACUAGGAUUGCAAAAAGUCAUUUUUGGAAACAAUUAACGGUUUCAGGGUCCGGUCCUCCCGAGGGGUCCGGUCUCUCAAGGUCCGAUCCUUCAAGCCAGGGACCGGUCCCUCGUUGCGUAGCAGAAAACACAUGCCACGGGAAACGGUCUCUCAUCUCAGGGACCGGUCUCUUAUUACGUAGCUGAAAAAACCUUGCUGUGGGGACCGGUCCCUCGUUACCACAGACCGAUUGCAUCGUUUUAUUACGCAGAGAGGACCUACGCGGUCCGGUCCCUCUGAUUAGGGACUAGUCCCUGAACCCUGAUACGUUCAGAUCAGUUAAAUCAAAACGCAAUAAUGCAAUCUAAGUCUUCUAAAUCCAUUUUGAACAUCUAGAGUCACCACAAAUGAUCUAUCUUUCAUACCUGAGGUGCCGAGCUUCCCUAAUGAGUCUUUUGUACUUCAAAUUAAAUCUUCUCUCCAAAACUUCGUGUUUAACUAUUCAAGACUCCAUUCGACUUCACAAAAUUCGCCAAUUUAGAAAAUCCUUAACAAUCUCCCCCUUUUGCGAUUUCGUGACAAAACAUAUUACAAUGCUCAUACAAACUUCAAAAACAGUAAAAAGAAGAUUAUCGCAAUCACCAAAUGACAAUCUCCUGCAUGACUGAUCCAAUAAAAGAAAAUUACAUUUUUCUCACAAUUCUAAUACAAACUCUAUGACUUAGACAUGGAGUCUUGAAAUCUUGAAAGUUCCUACAAAAACAUUCUCAAAACACAAUCAAGAUUCAAGAAUAUUUACUAAAAGAUCAAAUAUAACAUCAGUCAUAGUUCAUCAGUCAAGAAAAUAAGUCAUCCACUACCUAAGUCCUAAGUCAUAUAGUAUCAUCAUAGUCAAAGAAAAACUAAGUCUAAGUCAGCAUUUCAUGUCAUCAUCAUCAUGUCAUCAUCAUCAUCUCCCCCUUUUUGUUAGAAAGCGCCAAAACGACAAAAAAGAGGAACCCCGUAGCAUUCAAUCGGAAUCAGCACCCGGCGGAGGAAUAUCAGCACUACAACACCCCAACUUAUCGAAAAUGGCCUUCAUCAACUGUUUGAGCUUGCCCAUUUCCCUUGUGAGGCAUUCUUGCUCGACAACCAUCCGAGCCUGAUCUGCAAAAAGUCGUUGAAGCUCGCCGGAUAAUCGUUGUUGCUCACGAUAUACCGAAGAUACCGAGACAUCCUCAUCGGACAGCUCCACAGUAGGACGUGAAAGGGCAGGAGCAGCAGGAGGCGGAGAAAGUCGCUGGGAUGGAGAGCGAAGUGGCACAGACGACUUCACAAAAGUCGACUCACUGAUCAUACCCAGACUGUGCUCAUAAGACGAACAUCGUGUAUCCACAUCAUACAGCUGUAGAAUCCGCAUAAUGAUCAGAGGAAACGGCAAUCACUCAUUUUGACUCGAAGAUUUUAUAUCCUUAGCCAUUCUUCGCCAAAUCAGAAAUGGAACAUUGAUAUUGAUAUUCCGAGCCUGAAUGAUAUCCAGGUGUCCCAAUAGGUACAUGUAUAACAUGCGCUCCCAUCUCACUAUCUUUGUGUUCGCCAAGGGCAUAAUGUUGUAGCAAACCACAAAAUUCAAAAACCUGUAUUCCACUUUCAAAUCCUUAGACAUCACCAAAAUACUAUUUGACUCAGUGCCUGGCAUGCAAAUACUAUCCAUGACUCGUCGCCAAUCACGAAGAGCAUCAAAACCUACAUGUAUGCACUCCACUCCAUCAGUCCGAGCGGCCAUCUCCAGUACAGACGCCACAAUAUCUGGCGCAACCGUCAACUCCACACCACGUACUGAAGUUGUGAACAUGUAUGGACCACCGUCAGAAUCACUCAAAUGUCCCGCUCGCAUAUAAAACUCACGAAUAAGCUCCAAACAGUAUCCAGUCUGCUCAGGGAAAUCACAAAUCUCAUGCAGAUUCUCAUUCUCAAAUAAAGCUUGAAAUGCCGGGACACGCUCGAUGAGAUUCUGGACUCCGACUGCUCGCUCUCCAAUGCAGAGUUUCGAUGAAUACAUAGAGCGACGGCGUGAGUCAAUAGGGGCUUCCUGAGCACUAUGACGUGGAGGCUCAGAAGCUGGAUCUCUAAUCUCAACACCACCCGUUCUCUUCCGACCACGAGAAUAAGUCAUAUGUUCCUUCUCCUUUCCUUUUUCUUUCAUUUGUCCUUUACCUUUCGCUUUCUCUAUUCCUUUAUCUUUGCCUUUCACUUUUCCUUUUUCGUUCUCUUUCCCUUUACCUUUCUCUUUAGUAGGAGCAACGGGCUUUUUUCCUUUCUUCCUGGACAGAACUUCGGGGGUAAGGGCUUCCCAAUCGGUCUACUCGGAGUCCGAGUCGUCGCCCGGGACAUACUCACUGCCCACAUCCUCUGGUGGCUGCUCAGCCGGUUGCUUAGCGGAGGAGGGUUGACGUUUACUUCCUUGACCACCACCAGCCAUGAGAAACACAAGUACGAUCAAGAAUAAAUACAUUGUGAAAGGUCCCAAUUUCAAAGACACAAAAAAAUACAAUUGAACAAAGAAAUAUCACAUUUAAUAAAAAUGUUGGUCAAAAUCAGAUGAAAUGAGCUAGACGAUCUUAGGGCCAUAUAGUCCACGAAAACCACUGCCAAACCAUGCAACAAAGCAAGUGGAAAUCCAACAUUUGCAGAAAAAGUAUGCAUCAAACAACCUGUUAUAUCAAAAUGCACAUAAAUUCGGAAUAAUCAUAAAAAAUAGGCAAAAUGUGAAACCAUUACCCAAAACCCCAGUUGAAAUCAAUGAAGAAUGAAGGAGGGAGUCUAUGGAACCCUAGGAAGUGUUUGGGAAAUUUUUGAAACAAAGGAGUAGAGGGAGAAAGUAAAACCUAACAGAGCUUCAUAUAGGGGCUGCGGCAAAACGAAGCCAAAAUAGGCUUUUUUUUCUAAUUUCUUUACGUAGACUCGUCGGAUCUUCGAGCCGAGUCUCCCAACGUGUUAGAUUUACCUUCAAUUAGGUUUACAAAUGGUCAAUUUACAAAUAAACCAACCCAUGGCAAAAGUCCCAAUUUUGGCGCCCUAACAAUGCCACCAUUGCUGAACACCAUAUGGAUCUUGGAGACAAGCAAACACAAGCUUAAUACCAUCUAGAGAUCCAUCUAAAACCAUUCUUAGGGCUUUUGAACCAAAGCCUAGACAUCUACCAUGAGAGCUCAUGGAGAUUACCUUAAAAGCUAUCCUUUCCUCAAGCCAAGGAAGAGGAAGAAGUAGUUGCCUCACUUGCUAGCCUCCUCCUCCUCCAAAUCUUCCUUCAAAUCUUCUCUAAUCCAUCUUGGGAGAGAGUUCCUAGAGAGAGAGAGGGAGAAAAUGAGAGAGAAGGGUGUGCUCACUGCUGUGAACAAGAGAGGAGAGAGUGUGGGGUCUUUAUAAGCCACCACAAUUGCAUUUAAGCCCUCCAAACAUUUUUAUUUGCAGCAGACUAAACCUGCUAUUCGCAGCACUGGGUACCGGUACGCAGGAUUGCAUCAUCAAUACACCCCUGUUCAACAGCCCAAACCCGAGAGCUGCUAUUCUCGGGUUGCUGCGGAGUACCGGUACGCAGACCCCAGUGACCAAACCCGAGAGCUACCUUCUCAGGUGGCUUGCCUAGUACCGGUACGCAGACCCCAGUGACCAAACCCGAGAGCUACCUUCUCAGGUGGCUUGCCUAGUACCGGUACCACUUUCUCAGUACCGGUACGCAGCACCUAGAUCAGAGUUUUGGCAGUGCUUAGGCUCUAUUUCGCGCCGAGUAAUGCUAAAACCUAUCAAUCGCAUUCAGAACUCAAUCUUAACCCCUCCAACACUGUUGGAGUGUUGAAUGGACUUUGUCCAACUAUCUCUCUUGCCAUACUUUGGUCAAUUUGACUAAAAUUCGAUAUAACUUACCGAGAUUUCGGUAUAUUACAUCUGCACCAGGCGAAGUUUGGUGCAGAGACCGAGAGGAGUCUGACGCUCUCCUUGGCCGGUGAUAGGGAGCGGUAAGGGCGGAGAUAGGAGAAGCUCAGCCAGCACAGGAAGGAGCUGGGGCUCGGGUGGCUCCUUGACGGCGGUGGUGACAAGGGAGGCCAAUGGGCGGUGGCGACGGUCCUUUAUUAUCGAAGGGAGGUGCCUGCACGAGUCAGGGGCAGCGACAAAGGCAGCAUGAGAGAGGUCGGCCUUCCCUGUGCCCAGGCUUGCUCAAAGAGAGAGCUCGUGGAUGUGGCAGCGUCACCGGCACUCGGGGACGCCGCAGAGAGGUCGCCGGAGGUAGGGCGACACGGGGAGAGCUCGAGGAGAGCAGGGUAGCCUUCCUUACUACUCUGGCUCACAAAAUGUAGAGAGAAAAAGAGGGAGAGAGGGAGAGAAAUGAAAAGAGAAAGGGAUCGCCAGCCUGAGAGAUCGCCGGUGACGAGCAAGGCGAUGUGGCGGUGCUACAGAGAGGGGGAAGGGAGGUAGUUGGCUAGGGUUAAUUAGGGUUCUACAGAUCCUUUCUCUAUAUACUAUUUAUAUAUACAUACACAUAUAUGCAAAUUAAUUAUGGAGGAUUUGCACACAAGCCCUCCUAACACCUUCGAAUUUCUCACCUAGCCCAAAAUCAGACAGGGGGAAGGGAGGUGGUCAGCUAGGGUUAGGGUUUCACAGAUCCUUGAUAUAUGCUAUUUAUAUAUACAUACACAUAUAUACAAAUUAAUUAUGGAGGAUCUGCACACAAGCCUUCCUAACACCUUUGAAUUUCGCACCCAGCCCAAAAUCAGCAUAUAACAUUUUCGCCUUAGUCCCUCUCCAUACUAUUGUGUGCACCAUGCUAUUCGAAAUACCGCUUUUUAGUCCGAAAGACCCCUCAAUUGGAAAAUUCUCUCCCGACUUUAUCUCCAUGCCGUAUUUCAUAGGAAAACCCGAAUUUCGUGAAAUUUGAGACAUAAAAUUUUCUCUAACUCUACUUUCAUGUAGAACCUCCCAUUCACCAAAAUUGUGAAAUUUCUCACAUAAAAUGAUAACCUUUCCGCAAAGUGCUCAAUUUUAACACUUUGCGAGAAUAGCAAUUUAGCACUCCAAUCAUUGAAUUUUGUUCUAAAAAAUUACCGGUUCGUGAAAUAUGUCCAAUGGCACUGACCCAUGAAUUUUUACGCAAAACGGAACAUCGAACAUGGCUAAAAAGCAAGAACAUGAAGUAAUCAAAGGCUAAUCUACAAUAAACUCUGAUUUUUUUGAAAACUGUGAACUGAACAUGAAAACGGACAGUGUUAUCUCCUUCAGCAUAGUCGGACCAUCAAAAAAGACCUAUUGGGUUAUCUAGAACGGAGUCCGAUUCACAUCCGAAGCCAUCCUCAAGCCGAAGCUUCAAAAUAAAUCUCGGCUUACUAUUCACUUAAGUGAAUAGUACCCAACACCAUAUGCCUCACUUAAAAACUCGUUUAUCCCCCGAAUUAAACUAGAAAUUCCAAAAAUAGAAAUACUUAUAAUAAUCCAUUGAAAAGCACCAAUUUACACCAUAAAAAUCACAGUCUUCAUAGGCACAGAUCCGAAGUUUGAGAAAGGAAUUUUCAUCGACAGGUUUUUCUAUAAUUAACGCGAUAUUUUGUGCACCAAAUUGCUUGAAAUUGCCUGGAGAGGUAUUAUCGCGUGUUUUGCACAGGCUGAAAGGGUCUUAGCUUCAAAUAGUGAACUUUGAGGUUCUUUAUUAUGAUUAUACAAGAUAUAUAUAUAUAUAUAUAUAUAUAUAUAUAUAUAUAUAUAUAUAGAGGUUAGAGUUUAGAAACCCUAAACGUUGUUGCCCUCUUCUCUCUCCCUAGAGCCGCUGGAACCUUUUGUCCCACCGCCAACCUCCUCUCUAGCCGUCGUGACCCCAAUUGUCCUUUUCUCUCUCUCUCUCUCUCUCUCUCUCUCUCUCUCUCUCUCUCUUUUUCUCCCGUUCUCUUAUUUUCUCCCUCCUCAAGUGCCAGACCAAACCCGAGCUGAGCUUGCCAAGCUUGCUGAGCUUUUGGGAGCUCGACUUGGCUUGGCUUGCUUCAAAUCAUGCCGCCAUACUCCCUACUAUCAUGUCAGCUUCUCUAGACCCUAGCAAUUUUCCGCCAAUGCCGCCUCGGCGCCCCGAUCCCUUUCCUUGCCAGGGGAGGCCCCCCUGAACCCAAGAGAAGCUUGGGUUGGCUACAGCUCGUCGAGGGUUGCCGGCGUCACCGGCUACUGCCACCUUCGGCUCUUCCUCACUGGACAAGGCCUCCCCCGAGAAACGCACGUGUGCCCGUUGGCCACCGGAUCCUGGCAGGGAAAGUUGUCCAAAGCCCUAGGUCAGGCUAGGGCAACCGCAGACUAGGCCUUUGGUUCUGGACAAAUCAUUCAUUGAAAACUUUUCGAAAACGCGAGCAUGAUUCUAUUGAGGGCUCGUGGACGCCCGUGCUUAGUUUCGUCACAUUUCAGGGUUUCCCGAUCAAUAGAUCUUGCUCUGUCACUCUUGAAAGGUUUGAAAACUAAAGUUUAGGAAGCCCCAAUACCCAUCUCGACCCUUGUUCACACUCCGAACAGCUAGCACAAGUUUUGGUCGUCGAGGCCUAUCGGGCAACACUAUCAAUAGGUUUUCGAAGUGCACGAAUUACGGUAACAAACUUAGAACCUCUUUUUUAUAAACUAAUCAUGCAAUUAGUAGCCUGUUGGGGGGUUUUAUGCAAGUUAUGCUUGUGUGCUACCUCGGGCAGUGUGUAUUGGCGAUGUAUGACCUUUGUAUUGAUUAUCUAGGGACCGUUGGUUUUCAUGAAAUCUAAAUCAUGUUUCAGAGUGAUCAACAGCAAAAUCUAUCACCCGAUUGUGGUUAUGAUCCGAAAUUCAUGUUCGAUCAUCGUGGAUGUGUAAGUUACGAGGAGCCCUAGGAUUUAUCUAUAUUGUAUCAAAUACCUAGAGGGGGGUGAAUAGGUGUAACGGCCAAAAACCACAAAUCUCAAUGCGAAAAAAAAUAAAAGUGAAAAAUAAAAAUCACACUGAGAUUUACGUAGGAAAACUCUAACUUGGAGUAAAAAACCCACGGGACCAACACACAAAAAAAAUAAUUCACUAAGAGUAAAGAUUACAAGGUGAUUACCGACUCCACGGACUAGACCUCUCUUAACCUCCUAUGAAUCUGGCGCAAUCCUCCGGGUUGUCCACGCCCUCACGCUCGAAUCCACGAACGCCACGUUCCGAAUCCACGAAACGCCACCACUUCGAAUCCACGAAGCUUUCGAUCCGAAUCCUCGAACCGUCUUCAAUCACGCUGAAUCCACAACGCCGUCCAUGAAGAACAUCAUGAUAAUGGUGAUCCUUCGCUUCGAGUAUCAAUGAAAACCAGAGAAGAAAUAUUAAGCGUAGGGUAGAUCAAAUCGACAUAUAGAUAUCAAUUUUCAAUAUCUUGAUUUGACCUAAAAGAUGCUACUUUGUAGAAAACAAGUUUAGGACGGAAUUCAAGCCUCUAGGGUUUCUCAAACAUGAAUUCUCGUGAUGUUCUAUCUGUUAGAGAACCCCAGUAGCUUAUUUAUAGACCUUAGAAUCAAUUAUAGUUGGAUUAGAAAGUUUUCGAAUUUUUACACUGCGUACCUGUUACUAAAUCAUGUUGUCACCAGUACCAAAAGACGACACAGAAAAUUCCAUAUACUGCAUAACCGGUUAACAGUCCGAUGCUUUACCGGUCAACAACUGCAAUUUUCAGAAUUUCACAAUCUCGGGUUUCAAAAGUUCCAAAGCACUUUCUAAUCCACUAAUCUUUGAUUUUCAUGAUUCUAAUGUCUAUAACUAAGUAUGAAUCAUCAUAACAUAAUUCAAAAUCUUACCUUAGCAUCGUGAUUCAUGUCGUGAGAUAUUUCUGAUUUCUUCGAAGUCUUUGAUUCUUCGAUCUUCGUCAAUAUACAUCGAAUCCUUCAAGACUCCGACUCAAUCCACGAAACUUGCCAACACACAAUACUUAACAGGAUGCCCUGUGUCUGUUGCCUAGCCCUAUCUACUGAAUACCCUCACUCCUAUGUGUGUUCGGUGGCAGCAGGAGGGUGAUGGUGAGUUUCGAAGCUGAAAAUGGCAUUUUUGGGAAUCCUACGUUGUUCGAUUUACAUUAAAACAUAUUGUUCAUCAUUUUUAUGUGUUGCUACCUGGACACCUAAAUUGGUGCAUCUUAGGACAACGGGCGGUAUUUAGUGAGCAUUAGUACCCCCUGGGACACUUCGUGGGUUUUGGUAGUAUUCCGGUGAGUUGCCAUGAAUUUCUAGUUGGUUUCGAAAAUCGGUAAAAGGCAUCGAUUUUCUGAAUUGGUUUCCAGGAUAUGUGUUAGGUGAUUAUGAGUUCCAUAGGGUUUGUCGCUUGCCCUAAUUGGUUUUCAGGAUGUGUGUUGGGUAAUUUCUAGUCCCUUAGGGUUAGUCUCUCGUUGUCGAGUGGAUUGUGACUCUAUAGGAUCUAUCAUAGAUCCAAGCGACUUGUUGGAGUACUGUUGGAAUUAGGUGCUUCACCAGAUUACAGGUGGGUACUUCGAUUUGAAGUCAGUUCAGUGGUUCUUGCUCAGCAACUUCUUCCCUUUCUUCUCCAUAAUAUAUUUGUGUUUACUUACUGAGCUUUUGGACAUCAUUUUACUUUCUCGUUUGACUACUCUACAGUAAUUUUCAUCUCGUAGUAUCAUGAUUGAUCUAGUAGAGAAUAGCAUUUUCGUGAUUAAUUGUCAUGGAAUGACUUUGUGAUUGAUGACAUCUCGUACAAGGUGAUUUAGUUAUAUAGACCUGAUAGUUCAGUGAAAUGCUAGUAUUCCUUCGAAAAUAGUAGACCUAAUUUGGUCGGAUAUUGUUAUGGAUUAUUCUUUCGGCUAUUUGUUGUUGUUGGCCAUUAAGCAUAUUGCAUCAGUUGCCACAGCUCAUGAGCUUACGUGCACUAGCGGUCUAAUCCACUGUAAAAGAGUGUUUUUUUUUCGAAAAAGUUGUCCUAUUUUUGACUCGUGAGUCCUACGCAGUACUUGCCAGGGUUAUAUCAUAGUUAGUUAAUUCGCGAAUUAUUCGCGAAUUAUUCACGAAUUUUUGAAAAUCCGAAUUAAACGGCCAUUUUAGAAUUUUUGGGAAAAAUUCGGAAAAAAAGGGGAUUUUUUGAGUAAAAAUACGUAUUCGCGUAUUAUACGGCGAGCCGAAUUAUUCGGUCCAAAAAAAGGGAUCAAGCCCACAGGCCCGCAGGCCCGCACCGCCCGCGCCUGCCCGCGCACCUGCCCGCACCGCCCGCGCCUGCCCGCGCUCCCGCAUGGGCUCUUGGGCCGGUUGGCCCAAAACAGUAAAAUACAAAGAAAAUAAAUAAAAAUCUUUCCAAAUACCUCGCCUAGAUCAAAAAAAAAAAAAAAAUUUCUUUUCGAAUUUUUACUUAAUUAGCUUAAUUUUGUAGUUAUUUAUUCUUAUAGUUUUAAAAGAUAUGAAUAUUUAUGCUAAUAGCAUAAAUCUUGAGAGAAAAAAAUUUAAUUUAAUAGCCGAAUUUUUUAUCCCGAAUUUUUAAUUAGUAAACGUAUAAUGUCCGUAUAAAUCACGUAUCCAAAUAAUUGAUGAAUCUGUUUUUUAGCCGUAUUUUUUAACGAAUUUAAAAAUUGGAAGACGAAUUCUAUCCGAAUUAUAUCCGUACCGAAUUUUUGCCGAAUCCGAAUUAACUAACUAUGGUUUAUAUAUCGGGGGGCAAGCAUGACAUGGCUUUGUCUAAGUUCUUUAGACUAAUAUGGCAAUUGAUUGGAUUAAUUGUACUAUUCGUUCAUUUAACUCACUUUGUGUUCACUAUGCACUAUUUGGUAGUUAUAGUUCAUUUUCAGUGAUUAUUGCUACUGUACCAGCAUACUUGUUCUUGAUAUUUGCAUAUCAGCUUCUACCUUAUUUUAGAGUAACGAUUAUUUGUGCAUUUAUUGCCAGUUGUUAUUUCAUUGCUACUGCAUCUCCUUUGCCUAUUCAUUAUCCUCGAUUAUCAUAUCUCUCAUUUGCCGGUGAGUGCAGUGUGCCUUUAUCAGCCCCACUUUUUCAAAUAGCUCGGGCGAUGAGCAUAAGGAGAGUGCAUAAGGAUGAUACUACAUAGCUAUUUUUAGUUUCUACUGGAUUACCUCUUGGUUAGUAUCUCUUGAUUUGUUCAUUCAUUACCUAUUAAUUAUUUCUGAUGUUAAGAUGGUGAUUUAACUUUAUUGGUUUAAUUGAUUCUUAUGUGAAUUGAUAGUGUUCUAUGAUCAUCUAUUCGAUAGAUAUUAGUUUUCUCCUCUUAUACCUAUCUGUUUUUGUUUUCUAUGUGGUUAUUGUGUGGUUGAUAUUUGCAUUCAAGUGCUGUGCCAUGCAUGUACAGAGAAGACUCUGUCCAUUUAUUUAGGGGAUCCUUUAUUCAUGUGGCAGGUCUGUGCGCAUUACGGGGUGUUCUUUAAAGGUGUUUAAAAGAAAAAAAAUUCACACGUUUUACCAUUGGCUUUUCUAAAAAGGAUUUUUCACAAGAACCCCAAAGCGUGAUACCACACUUGCCCGCUACUAGAGAAUAGCUAGGACUCUACUAAGCGGCCGAUAAACAAAGUUUCACCGGAGGAAGCGUCGUCACACUACGAACCCCCAUCCCCCUAGCAUCACCAAGCUCUGUGACGCCCUUUUCAGCAUGAAGCCGGAUAAGUCGUUAGGCCCGAACAGCUUCUCUGCUCACUUCUACCGGUCGAACUGGGAUCUGUUAAAAGCGGAUAUGUUUCAUCUUGUACAAAAAAAUUUGCACAAUGCAAGAGGCACCGCAUUUUAUUAACCAUACCAACAUUGCACUGAUCUAGAAAAAGAAGUGUCCCAUGAAUAUCAGUGACUUCCAACCUAUCAGCUUGUGUAAUAUAAUCUACAAAUAUUUGGCCAAACCUUAGCAAAUAGACUGAACCGCUACUCUCAUCCUUAAUCGGUGAGGAAACAAUCUACUUUCGUAUUCGAGCGGAACAUCUUUGAUGAUUACCUAAUUGUUUAGGAGUUCUUGCACUCUUUCAAGAUUAUAAGGAGACAAUCGGGUACCUUUGCUGCCAAAACAGAUCUGGCUAAGGCAUACAAUCGACUCAAUUGGAAUUUUAUAUAGAGAUACUUCAAAGUUAUGGUUUCGCAAAGAAGUUGUGUGUAAUGAUCAAGUGGCGCAUCACAACCAUCCGAUUCUCGGUACUAAUGAAAAAUGAGAUUAGGUAAUACUUCUCCCCCACUAGGGGCAUAAGGCAAGGAUCCCCUCUCUCACUUUAUAUCUUAUCUUAUCUACUAAUGCCUUCUCGCUUUUGAUUAGAGAUUUCAUUCAUUCUGGCAAUAUCGAAGGACUCAAAGUCUCGCUUUCGUGCCUUGUGCUCUCGCAUGUCAUGUUUGCAGGUGAACUAUUUAUUUUCAAGAUAACAACCAAUGUAGAAGCAGUUCAACUAAGAAAUCCUAUCUAAUUUUUGCAUGAUCUUUGAGGAAGAGUUAAUUUUUCACAAAUCGUUGUUUAUCUUCAGCAAGUGUACCACCCUGGACCUCCACUCUAUUAUCUAAAACACUUCCAACAUAUCGACACAUUAGGGGAGCGGUCGUUAUCUAGUCAAUCCCCUAUUUUUGAAAAGAUUCCUCAUGCAUACUUUCCCUUUCAUUGUCGAAAAUCUUUAUUUGCUGUUGGUAGGUUGAAAGCCCGUUGCCUAUCGCAUAGGGGUCGCCUAACCUUAAUCCAAUCGACACUUUCCGCAAUCUCGAGAUAUUUCUUGUACUUCCCCACUCUUCCAACGAAGUUCCUAUAUCACAUUGACAGCGUCAUAAAAGACUUUUAGUGGGGAUUCAAACUCGAAAUGUGACACUUCUAUUCGAAAGCUUGGACGAAAUUAACUUACAACAAGAAUAUCAGAGGUUUAGGCCUUCCCUCUAUGAGUACACUUAACACAGCUAUAAUGCCCCAAUAGUCCCACAUCGGGUGGAAAACUGAUUUUGAUUAAAAUACAUAAGACCUACACGCUAGUAAUAAUAACCGGGCUUAAGCAUUUUGGUCCGGUGGUUUGGGCUCAACGAGUUAUUGUUGCUAGCGGGUCGGGUCGUUACAGUUGGUAUCAGAGCCGAAUACUAACCGGAAGUGUGAGAGCUAAGUGCUAUGCGGGACAAAGUGCUACAUCAAUGAAUUUGGUGGGAGCCACCUCGUGAACCCGUAGGAGCCACCUCUAGAAUCUGUGAUCUGGUUUGGACCCGAUGAGAACAUAAAGGUCUAAACAGGGGGUCCCACAUCGGAUGGGAUACUGAUUCCGGUCAGUUUAUAUGAGGUCUCACAUGCUAGUAAUAAUAACUGGGCUUAAGCUUUUUGGGCCGGUGAUUUGGGCCCAACAAGUUAUUGUUGCUAGCAGGUUGGGUCGUUACAUUUGGUAUCGGAGCCAAAUACUAGACGAAAGUGUGUGAGCUAAGUACUAUGCAGGACAAAGUGCUACACCAACGGAUUUGGUGGGAGCCACCUCUUGAACCCGUAGGAGCCAUGUCUAGAAUCUCACAUCGCCUGGUAAUUCUGGUCCUGUUCUGUCUGUCUGUGAUCUGGUUUGGACCCGACGAGGACGUCAUGGUCUAAACAGGAGGAAUUUGUAACGCCCCAACAGUCACACAUUGGGUGGAAAACUGACUUUGAUUAAAAUAUAUAAUACCUACACGCUAAUAAUACUAAUUGGGUUUAAGUAUUUUGGGCCGGUGGUUUGGGCCCAACGAGUUAUUAUUGCUGGCGUGUCGGGUCGUUAUAACAGCCCAAGUGUGUAAACUUGUAUUGUAUUUCCUUAUAAAUUCGAACUGCCUUUGGGCACGAGUUCUAACUAGCAAAUACAUUAGGGAUAAUUUUUGGAGAUCUAUAAGUAGUACCGCAAUCUCUAUUAUUUGGCGUUGAAUGUUACAAUCUUAUAGCAUUCUGGCAAUUGCUAAUGAUCGAUUCUCUGAUCCGAUUCGAUGGAUUCUUUCACCAUCCAAGAGAAUCACCUUGCAAUUAGUUAUUAAUUUCAUCAGUGAAGGCCACCUCCCAAGCUAGAUACAUUCACGCUCGACACUCUAGAAAAGGGUUUGAAAAAUUAAAGUAUCACGCCUUGUGUUAGAAUCUUUGCAUGGCACCUACUUGUAAAUAUUUUA
rnacentral:lncRNA from 1 species